AAGCAAUCAGGGCUCAGGAUACCCAUUUCUUGGAAUCGGGUCAACUUGUAUAUAUUAGCAGUGAUCAUAUCCCUACUCCAUACAUAUAUCAGAGUAUCGUGGUACAACGAAAAACUGUAUGCCAGGCAUCAUAUGCUGCUAAGUAAGAUGAGGUGACGGGGCUUAGGGAGUGUGAUCUUACCAACAAACGCAAAAAAAAAUGAUGCAGGAAGCACAGGGUGCGAUUACAAUGGUGGGUAGAAGUAUGAUGAUACAGAGAAGCCAAGGAAGAGGAGGCCUCCAAUGGUGGCUACAGUGCCUUGUGAUAUCCUCGACGCCAGCAUGCUGCCGCCCACCACUGCGAAUGACGUGCAGAUGGUGUGCCCCAAGGUUGCUCCAAUGGCAACACCUACAGCAUUCUUGUGCGUAGCCAGCUGCAUUUCAAAACAUGCUACCGGUUAAAAUGGAUUUUUGCUUGACCACAGACAAAUUGAGAAUUUGAUUGCGCAAGGGAAAUAAGUCAUACCGCAAUUGUGGCUAUCUGACUUCGGUCGCCCCACUCAGCCAGGAAGGUCAACACAAAUGACUGGAUCAUAAAAAACAAGUCAUACAUCAAGCCGUUGAUAGACAUCACAGUCAUUGCAGCGUCACUGAAGGGAGUUGUAUUUAUCAACCAUUGUAUAUGCACAGUUGGCGUGAACAGAAAUAUACUAUGCAAGACUAAAAAGGGAGUUGUAAAUUUUCUCAAUCCUAUAUAAUUACAUCUCAAAUGAGAUGGUAGAAAACAUAGUUAUCAAGAAAGAAUCAUUAAAUCAUAAAUGACAAAAGGACGGGAAAUGUACCUCCAAGAAAAUAGGAGUACAUAACCUUGAGAAGACGCGUCUAAAUGUUGAUUUCCCUUGACCUGCUUCCAGCUUUUCCUGUACCUGCAUAUUUCAAGCGAUUAAAAAUUAUAAGGUGUUUAAAUUACCACACCAAAAAAUUAAAAGAACAGGUUCGAGCCAGCAGGGAUGCAUGAUACACAUAUCCAGUUGAUGGUAAAACCGCUAUUGACACAAAAGGAAGAGUGUAUCUACAUGAAUUGAUGUUUAUACUUCAGCAGACUGAUUCAGUAUUUUGAGAAAUUGAAUCGCAACCCAAACAGAUGUUUUAUGAUUAGCAGUUUAUGCGGUAAACAAACAAGACUAUGCUAAUUCUCAGCUGUAGAGCCAUGUAAGAAAAUGCACAUACUUCUUCUAUUUCCUUGUUCUGUGAUGCCCUAGAAUCUGAUCUCCAAGCAAUGUAAAGCAGUCGCAGCCCAAAGAACGCAUAAAGGACUGAAGCACAAAAACAAAAGGAGGAUGUUAGGUAUUAGACGAACUGGUGAAUUAACUGUAUGCUAGUGCUAUAAAAUUGGCAGACAUGCAUAUUUCACGAAAUACCUUACUUGAGAUUUAAAGAAUAUAUAUGUGUAAUCAACAAUGUACUAUAAGCAUGAUAAGACCGAUGGAAGCUCCUUAGUACGAUUUUUAAAUCCCGGUUUGCCAAACUCAUGUGAAGUUGGUGUCAUCGAAUCUCCUUAGAUGUAUCACUAGUUUUGCACUAGGCCUUCCAUGAAAAAGGCGAAGAAGAGUUUAGUCCACAGUUGUGCACAAGUUCGGGAACCCAGUUUUAAGCCUCACUGGCACUGGCAUAUUUCCAUGGUAACUAAAUGUGCUUCUUUCUUUUUGCCAACACUUAUUUCCCGAUAGCUAGAUUCUGAAUUUGUUUGCACACUGUUAGGAGAACACAGUCCAUACAGAGAUUUAUUUAUAUAAUGACAUUAUAGUUUGAAUGUUGUGAUUUGGUUUUGACACUGCUCGGUGCUCGCUGGGUACUAUGGUUUACUAGACAUAAGAUCAUGGUUAAAGAUAAGCUGAUCUAUCAGUCUCACCCUACUGGCGUGCAUCUUCUUACAGCAAAGGCAACCAUUGUGGUAGGGGUGAGUCAGCGGACUAAAGGAAAAUGGCUGAUGUAGUGUAAGGGGGGUCCUUUUCUGUGGUUUUGAGUGAGUGGCUGAGUGGGCCAUGGAGCGGUGCAUUCCUGGUUUCUGCUUUGCUCCGUUUCGUAACUUAAACUGGCAAUCCCAGCAUAGCUCUCUAUACGACUUGCUGUCUGAAUUCUUACACAUAAGUAAAAUAAAGAUAGAAGAAAACCGGAAGAUUGUUGCUUAUGCAACUUUCCUAUUCUAAUUUAAGGCUCGCUUGGGUCCUGGAUAAAUAAAUCAACACGUAACUGGGGAAAGGCAUUUAUCUAUAAUUACAACAUUACAGGAAUUUGCACAGCUUCUAUUUAUACAGAGGCACUAAUUCUGAAGGAUUCUAACAAAUGCAGGUGCAAGUAUCAAGCCUUUGAAUUUCUAUCUACUAAUAUGUCAAAACUGAACCAUUUGGUUUUUGGACAAUGCUGGCCAUCUAAUGCAUAUUUCAGGUACUUGCAGAGAUCAAUAUUUAGCAGGUUGGUGUUAAAACGUUUAUGAAUGCUUUUGGAACAGUUAUGGUCAUAUUGUGCCAUUUCAUUUGAUGAUUUGACCAAUAUUCUCCAACGUCCAGGAUGUCCAUGCACAACAAUAUAAAUCUACUACUACUAAAACCUCAGACCAGCUUGAACAAUCAAUGGACAUCAAGCUAACAAUCAGAUAAGUCAAUACCAGUUGCUGCGCUGUUAGUGUGCUUCCUCGAUAUCAAGUUCGGGACGAUCCUGCCAAGCCCAGUUGAUAGUACCUAAAACAGCACAGAGCGCAGCAGGAGUAAUUAACACUAAACUGCGAUCCUAUUCUGCCAAACAAACAGAUGCUGCGGUUUCACCUACCGUCAUGACAACCAGCGCCGACAACGCACCAGAGAGCACCGUCGACUUGGGGUGCCGCAUCGCCAUGAGAGCCGCGAUGAUGAACGUCUCGUCGCCAAUCUUCAGUCAGCAAGGCAUGAACACACAGCACCCAGUAAUAAGAACAUAAACAGUAGGCAGGAGAGCAAAUUCAGAAACACCGGAGUGGUAGCAUUUCUGCAUUUGUAUCCGAGAAAUGGCAGGUCACCUCGCUGACGAGAAUCAUGGAGAGGCUGGCGAAGAAGGCGUCGAAGAGGCCCAGCUCGGACUCCUGCUCGACGCCGGCGUCGCCUCCGCCGCCGAUGACGCCGCGCGCCGUGUGGACGAACAUCUGGGGAGCAGCGGAACAGGCGGGGGAGGCCUUGAUGUGAGUGAGACCGACAACAACCCAGCUCCCAAAACCAGGGCUAAGACGAGACAGGCGACGGGCGCGGCGCGUGCGGUGUCAACUGUCAACUGACCUUGGUGCGGCGGUCGAGGCGGCGCGUGGUGGUGGCGUUGCCGGCGGCGGCAUCGUGCGCACCCUGAAACUGAAGGGAGGAAAACAAAAUCAGCCACGCGCCCAGAGUCGGAGGGGGGCUCGGCAGGCGGCAAACGGGAAAGAGGCGACGCCCGCGUGGGGGUGGGGGUGGGUGAGGACCGAAGGGCGAGGGGCGCUGACCUGGUCCCCGGCGGCGGAGGCGGCGNNNNNNNNNNNNNNNNNNNNNNNNNNNNNNNNNNNNNNNNNNNNNNNNNNNNNNNNNNNNNNNNNNNNNNNNNNNNNNNNNNNNNNNNNNNNNNNNNNNNNNNNNNNNNNNNNNNNNNNNNNNNNNNNNNNNNNNNNNNNNNNNNNNNNNNNNNNNNNNNNNNNNNNNNNNNNNNNNNNNNNNNNNNNNNNNNNNNNNNNNNNNNNNNNNNNNNNNNNNNNNNNNNNNNNNNNNNNNNNNNNNNNNNNNNNNNNNNNNNNNNNNNNNNNNNNNNNNNNNNNNNNNNNNNNNNNNNNNNNNNNNNNNNNNNNNNCGGAGGCGGCGGAGGCGACGAAGGGGGCGGAGACGGCGAGGGCGAGGAGGAGGAGGAGGAGGAGGAGGGUGAGGGCUCGCCGAGGCAUCGGGACGGGUGGAUCGAGCGGGAGGGGUGGAGGCGACGGGUGGGAUGGGGUGGGGUGAGGUGGGGGGAUUCGACUGGGAGGGGAGGAGACGGCGGCGAGAGGCCGGGAUCUCGGCCUCGGCCUCUCUCGGCGCGGCGUGGGUGGGUGGAGUGGACCGGCCACGGACGGACCCAGUGCUCGAAAAUAUUAGCUGGCCGUGCUCUCUCUUUGCCCCUCUGCCGUGCCGUGCCACCGACGCGCCGUCCCGUGCCGAUUCGCGCGCUCACCCACCGCCCCGCCCUUGUCACGCAACGCUGGAACGCGUGAGCUCUCAUGCUACCCAGGAUUCGCGUACUACAGUACAACUUUUCUUUUUGAGGAAAAAAAAUCGCGUCCAACUUCGUCUGCUAGAAUGAAUAGCCAAUAUUUUUCGUGACAUGUGCAUAGAACAGGACGCACCGUACGCAAGUGCAGCGACGUGGGUUUACCAGAGGUCAGUCCGCACCAUUGGAAAGGGGAGACCUGUUUGCGUCGGGUUGGAUUCAACCAAACUCUGCCCGACUCCCCUCCCCAUUGUGACCAAGAAUUCCUUGGAUUUACUACUCGCUCACGCACGUGGCAGCGUUGACGCAUCCGGCCUCGUGAAUCGCGAUGAAGAUGCUAGUACCAGUAUCUUUCUCUUGCUUGAAAGAUUGCUUUGACUUGGGCGUCGCACUUGGAGUGCAUGAAACUGAUUCCUCCUCCGUUUCCUUGGGAUACUACUGUCUCUGUUUUUGGGUACAAGCUUUCUAGAGAUUUCAAUAAAAAACAUAUUUUAGAAUGUAGAUUCACUUAUUUUGCUUCAUAUAUAGACCGCAUUGAAAUAUUUAAAAGUGCUUAUACUUACAAACGGAGGGAGUAGUAAUCGGCAUGGACGAACUGGACAAUAACAUUUCCGAUGGCUCGAAUCUGACUUUGAGCCAAGGCUACGUCUACGUAUAUACUAGUGUUGAAAAUAUGAGCAAAUUACUACGAGAAUUAAUCCGAAUUAACAGAAAAUAAAUCAUGACUACAGUAGCAGAGAUUGAACUAAUCAUGCGAACUAGCAUAGUAGAUGAACAGAUCACAUCUAGGACACAUACUAGAAACAUGAAUUCUACCACGAUCUCGAACAGGAAAGAUAGAAUCACAUACGGUGCAGCGGGAGCAGCACCGCCGGCGUUGACGUUGUCGCCCAUGUCGUCGAGGAUGAGGUUGCCGAGGUCGGGGAAGAAGUCGUCGUUCGCGAAGUCGUCGCUGCCAGCAGUCGCGCGAGUGCGCUCCCCAAAAACCUGAUCGCCCCUCUCCCGUACAGGAUCACAAGAGGCGGGGUUCCGGAGGCCUGCUGUCUCUUCUCCCGGUGCACGCCGAAAGGAGGGAUGGAGAAGACUUGAUUGGCGGCGCAAUGGUCUGGAACGGAGGUGAGAAACCAUACGAGAAACAGCGGCGGCUAGGGUAGACGUCUGCCUGACUAUAUAGUGCGGGCCGGAUAGGUCGUGGGAGUAAACCCCACGUCCGAGUCGUCACGAUCCAAAAGAACCGGAAACGGUUCGGUAAUUAACGCGUCCAUUAAUUAUUAACUAAUGACUCAUUAAUUUAUCCCGAGCAGCAAAAAUAUAGACAACGUGCAUAGCUCUGUCAUCGGCUCGGCUCAAUCCCGCGUGGCGAGGCGAGGCGUGGCGUGGCGUGGCGAGGCGAGCGAGGAGGAGGAGCGCGCGUGUAGGUCUCCUCUUCUCAUGCUCAUACAAGUGGUAGGAGAGCUCACCUUAUAAAAAGGUGCAACUCUCUCUCAACUUAUGAGGUGGGACUAAAUUUUAGCCUCACUCACUCCACUCACAUGUGUGCAUGAAUGAGCCAAGAGAAUUUCAGAAUUUUAGUUGGGCUUUGGGCCAAAAGCCCGCUAGCAAAUUUCAACAAUCCCCCACAAAGUCUCAUUGGCACAUUUCACCAUUUGGUUCCAAAACAUUGUUUAUAUGCCGGUGCUUAGUGGAGACUGUGAAGUUGAACUUCCACUUAGAGAUUUAUGCUACACUAGAUCACAACUUGAAUAGUGGAUUAUGCCUUGAACUACAAGUUUUCUGCGAGACUAGUUUCACACAAAUUCUUGACCGGUACUGGGCUGCCGCAAGGCUUCCCCGCGGGUGGAGCGUAUACGUCGUACUCCAGGGCCUUUCAUGAAUUUAUUAGAGAGCACCCACUUCUCACAGACUGCGACAUUAACAGUCAAAUUCAUACAGGUGUGUUCCUCAGGAGAUGCUCUGCAGGACAACAUCUCUGCUUAUUCAAAUAAGCCACUUGGAACACAUUAAGAUAGAUAUCAACCUGCCAUGCAGAUCAGGAGAGUAUUGCAUCUUCAUGGAGUGGGAUGAUUAAAAUAAGGAUACUCUCCUCUCAGCUGACCAACAGCUUGUCUCCCACUUCUACUUCACGGGAUCUCCGAUCACAUAAAGUGGGUUACCACUAUGGACAACUCAUGCAGUGGGUCUCAUGAAGGAAAUAUGCCCUAGAGGCAAUAAUAAAGUUAUUAUUUAUUUCCUUAUUUUAUGAUAAAUGUUUAUUAUUCAUGCUAGAAUUGUAUUAACCGGAAACAUAAUACAUGUGUGAAUACAUAGACAAACAUAGUGUCACUAGUAUGCCUCUUGUGUCAGGACCCCGACUUAAUGCCACAUCGAUCUAGCAUGUAACACCUCAUAUCACUUUGCGGCCUCACGCACGGUAUUCCCACGGGUGUCGCCUUACCUUUGCCCGGGACCGUUUGCGCCUUUUGGCACACGUAUAUGAUAGUGUCGCUAGCAUCCAUAUGAUAAGGAGUCCGGACUGACAUGGCUAGUCGUAAACCCAAAGUGGCACAGACUUACAGGGACAGGCAUCCAUGACCCAGCAUCGAACGUGUCGGUCAUCAGCGAGUGAAUCCAGGCUGUAGCACUGGGCUAACAGGACUCCGGUGAACCGGGCUGUAGCGGGCUAACAGGACUCUGGUAUUCAUUGCGUGACAUUUCCCCGAAGGGACAGACACAGGAACGAAGAAUGACACAUGCCGGCCAGCCUAAGUGUUCCGGAGCAGUAGCAAGCUACCAUGGCUCGGUGGAAACACUAGGAGACAUUUCCCGGUAAGAGAGGCUACUAAGGAUAGACAACUAGAUAGUCAGAUCCCACACAUACCAAGCAUUUCAAUAUCAUACACACAAUAUGCUCGAUAUGUGCAAAUACAUCAUGGCAGCACAACAUGACUCUACGACUCAAGUAUUUAUUCAUUAGGCUCCGAGGAGCGAGAUAUUACAAACAGGGGUCUCAUGACCCAACAUUCAAAGCAUACAAAUCAAGGCACAAGCGGAAGCUAACAUGUCUGAGUACAGACAUCUACAAAUGAAAAAGGCUUAGAAGGCUGACUAUCUACCAGAUCCUGUCGAGGGCACAAGAUCGUAGCUGAGGUAUCAAGCUAAACGUCGAAGUCCACGCGGAACUACUAACGAGACCGAAGUCUCUCUGCAAAAACAUAAAAUAGGCAAACGUGAGUACAAAUGUACCCAGCAAGACUUACAUCAGAACUAACUACAUAUGCAUCAUUAUCAACAAAGGGGAUGGUGGGGUUUAACUGCAGCAAGCCAGCUUUGACUCGGUGGCUAUCCUGAACUACUACUGCAAGUAACUCUUUUGAGGUGGCGCACACGAGUCCACAUAUUCACCAUAUCAAUACACCACUAUGGAUCCGCUCCGUCUCCCUACGAGAACGCCAUCCAUAGCACUCACGCUUAUCUUGCGUAUUUUAGAGUAUCCACUUUCACUUGUCUAUGAACUGUACAGGCAACCCAGAAGUCCUUUUCCGCGGACACGGCUAUUCGAAUAGAUAAUGUUAACCCUGCAGGGGUGUACUUCUUCACACACGCUCUCACCACUUACCGCCGUUUACACGACAUGUACUCGGCAACCUUCAAGCGGAAGCCCAACGUGGGUGUCGGCCACGGCCUACCUAAACACUCAAGUCUCUAGUCCAGGUUUAUCGCCUAUUCGGGUUCCAUCCAUGAGGAGAUCCGGCCGGAGUUUCGCUCACAGCCCCAAACGAUGUGAGCAGGGUUCCCAAGACACCAAACGGGCGCCCGGUACACCGUGCCACGUGCCUACCGCAUCACAGCACACCCCUUCGGUCAGCGCUGCGCACGGCCUCCAGCAUACUACAAACACCGGAAACUACUUGCAACUCCUGGACCAAGGACAAGGGUGAUUAAGAAGCCGAGAGGGUCCAUUGGUUUCGGGCCCAGUGCGUGGUAGUAGCUGAAUCAUGGAUCACAAACACAGAACUCAGUUCCUGAGGACGGCUACAAUGAGACAACCCACCAUGUACUCCUACAUGACCUCUCACCGUUACCUUUACCAAAUCGUGUUCACACACUUUGCUCACACAUACAGUAGGACAUGUUCACACACCUCUGAUUCAUCCCCGAUGAAUCAGACCUGACUCAACUCUAAGCAGUAGCAGGCAUGACAAACAAGCAUGAAUGAGUAGGCACAACAGGGCUCAAACAACUCCUACUCAUGCUAGUGGGUUUCAUCUAUUUACUGUGGAACGACAGGUCAUGCAAAGGAUAAAGGGGUUCAGCUACCGCAGCAAGUAACAGUUGAAUCGUUGUUGUCCUAAUGCAGUAAAAGAGAGCAGGAGCGAGAGAGUGGGGUUGUAUCGAAAUGAACAAGGCGGUUUUGCUUGCCUGGCACUUCUGAAGAUAAUAUAGUUCUUCAUCAGUGUCAUCGAACUCGUCGUCGGAACCACGUCUAUCGAGAGGGGACAAACACCGGCAACUAAGAAAGAACACAAUCAAUGCAAUGCCACAAUAUGAUGCAUGAUUAUGACAUGGCAAUAUGCUGUGAUUUGAGCUAAUGCACCUAGCUAUGAUUUAAAUGAAGUUGGUUUGAAUACAUGAUUCAAAUUCCAACUCCGUAUAUGAUUAUUUAAAUGCCCUUUAUUUGUUUUGUCCAAAACAGAGGACAAACAUUGUUUAAACAUGCAUGAAAAUGGUACAGAUGGAUUCCUUGAAUUUUUCUGAUAAUUUUUCAUAUAUAAUUUGUUUGAUUUGGAGCUACGGUUGAUUUUAUAUAAAUUUUAGAAGUUUGCAACAAUUUCUGGAAUUUCCUGAAUAAAAAUAAAUCCAGAAAUUAGUUAUUGCAUCAGCAGUGCGUCAGAGUGACGUCAGGGGGUCAACGGGGGCGUCCAGGUCAACCUGACCAGUGGGUCCCGCUUGUCAGUGUUGGGGAACGUUGCAGAAAACAAAAAUUUUCCUACGGUUUCACCAAGAUCCAUCUAUGAGUUCAUCUAGCAACGAGUGAUUAGAUGCAUCUACGUACCUCGUAGAUCGCGAGCGGAAGCGUUCAAAGAACGGGGAUGAUGUAGUCGAACACGACGUGAUUCGAAUCACCGGAGAUCCUAGCACCGAACGGACGGCACCUCCGCGUUCAACACACGUACGGAACAGCCACGUCUCCUCCUUCUUGAUCCAGCAAGGGGGGAGGAGAGGUUGAGGGAGAUGGCACCAGCAGCAGCACGACGGCGUGGUGUUGAUGGAGCUGCAGUACUCCGGCAGAGCUUCGCCAAGCGCUAUGGAGGAGGAGGAGGUGUUGGAGAGGGAGAAGGAGGCAACCAAAGGCCUAGGUGUGAAGUCCCUCCUUUCCCCCACUAUAUAUAGGAGGGCCAAGGGGGGGUGGCCGGCCCUAGGAGAUCCAAUCUCCUAGGGGGGGCGGCGGCCAAGGGGGGUUUCCCUCCCCCCCAAGGCACCUAGGAGGUGCCUUCCCCUCCUAGGACUCUUCCCCCUUAAACCCUAGGCGCAUGGGCCUAUGUUGGGGCUGGUGCCCUUGGCCCAUGUAGGCCAAGGCGCACCCCCUACAGCCCAUGUGGCCCCCCGGGGCAGGUGGACCCACCCGGUGGACCCCCGGGACCCUUCCGGUGGUCCCGGUACAAUACCGAUAACCCCGAAACUUGUCCCGAUGCCCGAAACAGGACUUCCCAUAUAUAAAUCUUUACCUCCGGACCAUUUCGGAACUCCUCGUGACGUCCGGGAUCUCAUCCGGGACUCCGAACAACAUUCGGGUUACUGCAUAUACAUAUCCCUACAACCCUAGCGUCACCGAACCUUAAGUGUGUAGACCCUACGGGUUCGGGAGACAUGUAGACAUGACCGAGAUCGCUCUCCGGUCAAUAACCAACAGCGGGAUCUGGAUACCCAUGUUGGCUCCCACACGCUCCACGAUGAUCUCAUCGGAUGAACCACGAUGUCGAGGAUUUAAGCAACCCCGUAUACAAUUCCCUUUGUCAAUCGAUAUGUUACUUGCCCGAGAUUCGAUCGUCGGUAUCCCAAUACCUCGUUCAAUCUCGUUACCGGCAAGUCACUUUACUCAUACCGUAAUGCAUGAUCCCGUGACCAGACACUUGGUCACUUUGAGCUCAUUAUGAUGAUGCAUCACCGAGUGGGCCCAGUGAUACCUCUCCGUCAUACGGAGUGACAAAUCCCAGUCUCGAUCCGUGUCAACCCAACAGACACUUUCGGAGAUACCUGUAGUGCACCUUUAUAGUCACCCAGUUACGUUGUGACGUUUGAUACACCCAAAGCACUCCUACGGUAUCCGGGAGUUACACGACCUCAUGGUCAAAGGAAAAGAUACUUGACAUUAGAAAAGCUCUAGCAAACGAACUACACGAUCUCACGCUAUGCUUAGGAUUGGGUCUUGUCCAUCACAUCAUUAUCCUAAUGAUGUGAUCCCGUUAUCAAUGACAUCCAAUGUCCAUAUCCAGGAAACCAUGACUAUCUAUUGAUCAACGAGCUAGUCAACUAGAGGCUUACUAGGGACAUGUUGGUGUCUGUUAUUCACACAUGUAUUACGAUUUCCGGAUAAUACAAUUAUAGCAUGAAUAAAGACAAUUAUCAUGAACAAAGAAAUAUAAUAAUAAUGCUUUUAUUAUUGCCUCUAGGGCAUAUUUCCAACAAUCAGUAGUUAAUUAGACUAACUAAUUUUGAUUAAACCUAAACUAGGUUAAUUAGCAGAGGGUCCCACCUAGUCAACUAAGUUAGCGGGGUCAAACCCGCCGGUCAACGGGUCAAGGCCUACCGGCGUUUAGCCGCCGGCGAAGCCAGACGCGGCGGCGCAGGUGCGGGUUUCACGUACAGGGCACCACUCGGGGCGCCGUUGGGCUCUAAGGGUAGCUGGGAGCGAACCGCGACGGGUGGUGCAGGUGGUUGGGCUCGGGGUCACCGGAAAAGUGGCCGGCGACGAGGUUUGGCGGCGGCAGCAGGUCGGGCAAGCUUGGGGUGGCGCUACAGAGCACGGGAGGAGGCGCUGUGGGUGUCUACGGGCUCAUGAGAUCGUGCUGGGCACGAUGGUGGGCUCGGGAACGAGCUACGGUGGCUGUGGCCAUGACGGCGACGUGCGGUGGCGGCGGCAGGUGCGGCCGAGCUCGGUGCUGUUGUUGUGGUGCUCGAGAGCGAGAACGGGAAGGGCAAGGAGGAAGAGGAGCUCACGAGGAGUCGGUUGAAACAGACGGUGAGCUCGAGGAGGGGCUGGUGAGGUCGUGCGGCCGCUGGCGAUCUCGGGGCAGAAACGGCGAAGAUGGCGGGGCAGAGGGUGAUGCAGGGCGUCCGGCGUCGGGCGGCUCGGUGAGGAGGAGGAGAGGGACUAGCCGGAGCUCGUGGGCAGCUCCAGGGGCGAGGGAGAGGCAGUGGCGUCGACUACGGUGGCGGCGGCUUAUGGGCGCGUCGGUCGUAGCGGGAGAGGACGAGGGAGAGGCCAGAGGAGGGGAGAGUGAUGUCCAGGGGGUCGAGGCGGCGCCGAGGAGAAGAUGCGAGGCGUCGCGGUGGCCAGGCGACGCAGGCAGGCAGCCUGGUGGCGUGGCGCCUGCGCGCGCGCCGUGCGUUGUCCCUCCUCUGCCUACUAGCAGAGGUUGGGGAUGACUGGCACCAGGCCAGGUGGGCUGGGCCAGCACAGGUGAGGCCCAGGUGGGCUUGGUGGGCGCCAGGUAAGUUCUCUCUUUCCUUUUGUUCCAGUUUUUCUAUUUCUUUUAUUCUGUUUUGAAUUAGUGAAAAUACUAAUCCAUUUUGUAAAAUCCUGAAAAUAAUUUUGGGCACUAUUUGAAAUAUAUGCAACAGCCCUCAUUUAGUUUCAGAAUUAUUUAAGCAUUUAAAUUAUUUAUAGCAUUUAAAUGCCCAAAUUCAAAUACUUUAUGAAUUAAUUCAAAAAUCCAAAAAUGGACCUAGAAAUAUGUGCAUCAUUUUUGGCAGAGGUUUUAAACCAAUCCAAAAAUGAUGAACUUUUCUGAAGGACAUUUUGGGUUCAUUGAGAAUAGUUGUAUUUGAACCUAGUUAAUUUAAUCUGGUGCUAGGGUUUGAGCAAUCCCCAUUUCAAAUUUCAAAUAAAUUUAGACAUGAUGCAGCAACCAAGCUAGUCCAAGUGCAUAGCAAGGCUAGGGACGUGACAUCUUGACUAGCUCGUUUAUCAAAGAUGGUUAUGUUUCCUAGCCAUGGACAAAAGAGUUGUCAUUUGAUUAACGGGAUCACAUCAUUAGGAGAAUGAUGUGAUUGACUUGACCCAUUCCAUUAGCUUAGCAAUUGAUCGUUUAGUAUGUUGCUAUUGCUUUCUUCAUGACUUAUACAUGUUCCUGUAACUAUGAGAUUAUGCAACUCCCGUUUACCGGAGGAACACUUUGGGUGCUACCAAACGUCACAACGUAACUGGGUGAUUAUAAAGGAGUACUACAGGUGUCUCCAAAGGUACAUGUUGGGUUGGCAUAUUUCGAGAUUAGGAUUUGUCACUCCGAUUGUCGGAGAGGUAUCUCUGGGCCCUCUCGGUAAUGCACAUCACUAUAAGCCUUGCAAGCAAUGUGACUAAUGAGUUUAGUUGCGGGAUGAUGCAUUACGUAACGAGUAAAGAGACUUGCCGGUAAUGAGAUUGAACUAGGUAUUGAGAUACCGACGAUCGAAUCUCGGGCAAGUAACAUACCGAUGACAAAGGGAACAACGUAUGUUGUUAUGCGGUUUGACCGAUAAAGAUCUUCAUAGAAUAUGUAGAAGCCAAUAUGAGCAUCCAGGUUCCGCUAUUGGUUAUUGACCGAGAAUAGUUCUAGGUCAUGUCUACAUAGUUCUCGAACCCGUAGGGUCCGCACGCUUAACGUUAUGAUGACAGUUUUAUUAUCAGUUUAUAAGUUUUGAUGUACCGAAGGAGUUCGGAGUCCCGGAUGAGAUCGGAGACAUGACGAGGAGUCUCAAAAUGGUCGAGACGUAAAGAUCGAUAUAUUGGACGACUAUAUUCAGACUUCGGAAAGGUUCCGAGUGAUUCGGGUAUUUAUCGGAGUACCGGAGAGUUACGGGAAUUCGCCGGGGAGAAGUAUUGGGCCUUAUUGGGCCAUACGGGAAAGAGAGAGGGGCUGCCUUGGGCAGCCCCCCCCCCCCCAAGGCCUAGUCCGAAUUGGACUAGGGGGAGGGGCCGCACCCCCUCCUUCCUUCCCUUCUCUCUUCCCUUUCCUUCUCUCCUACUCCUACUACAUGGAAGGGCUCCUAGUUCUACUAGGAAAGGGGGAAUCCUACUGCCGGUGGGAGUAGGACUCCCCUAGGGCACGCCAUAGAGAGGGCCGGCCCUCCCCCUCCUCCUUUAUAUACGGGGGCAGGGGCACCCCAUAGACACACAAGUUGAUCUACGGAUCAUUCCUUAGCCGUGUGCGGUGCCCCCCUCCACCAUAUUCCACCUCGGUCAUAUCGUCGCGGAGUUUAGGCGAAGCCCUGUGCCGGUAGAACAUCAUCAUCGUCACCACGCCGUCGUGCUGACGGAACUCAUCCCUGAAGCUUUGCUGGAUCGGACCCCGGGGAUCGUCAUCGAGCUGAACGUGUGCUGAACUCGGAGGUGCCGUACGUUCGGUGCUUGGAUUGGUCGGAUCGUGAAGACGUACGACUACAUCAACCGCGUUGUCAUAACACUUCCGCUUACGGUCUACGAGGGUACGUGGACAAUACUCUCCCCUCUCGUUGCUAUGCCAUCACCAUUGUAACGCCCCGGAUUCGAUGCGCCAGGUGUCUGCCAGUUAUUCGCCGCCGUUGCCAUGUCAUUUGCUUGCGUGUUGCAUUUUAUCAUGUCAUCAUGUGCAUCUCAUUUCGCAUUCAUGUUCGUCUCAUGCAUCCGAGCUUUUUCCCCGUUGUCCGUUUUGCAAUCCGGCACUCCUAUGUCCUCCGGCGUCCCCCCUUUUGUCUCUCGUUGUGAGCGGGUAUUAAUCAUUCUCAGAAUGGACCGAGGUUUGCCAAGCGGCCUUGGUAUAGCACCGGUAGACCGCCUGUCAAGUUUCGUGCCAUUUGGAGCUCGUUUGGUACUCCAACGGUUAACCGGGUAACCGUAAAGGCCUCUUUUGUGUGCAGCCCAACACCCCUUCCAAAGUGGCCCAAAACCCAUCUAACUCCCCUCCAUGCUCUCGGUCGUUCGAUCACGAUCGCGUGGCCGAAAACCGCUUCUCAUUUGGACUCUCCUAGCUCCCUCCACCUAUAAAAACGCCCUCUCCCCCUCCAUUUUUGGGUCCAAACCCUAGUCCAUCUCCCUCCGCGCCGCCGGACGCGUCCGUCCGCGCCGGACACGUCCGCCAACCACGUCCCUCCGUCCAAUGGCAUCGCGCCACGUCGCCUCCGCCGCCGUCUCCUCCAACCCGCNNNNNNNNNNNNNNNNNNNNNNNNNNNNNNNNNNNNNNNNNNNNNNNNNNNNNNNNNNNNNNNNNNNNNNNNNNNNNNNNNNNNNNNNNNNNNNNNNNNNNNNNNNNNNNNNNNNNNNNNNNNNNNNNNNNNNNNNNNNNNNNNNNNNNNNNNNNNNNNNNNNNNNNNNNNNNNNNNNNNNNNNNNNNNNNNNNNNNNNNNNNNNNNNNNNNNNNNNNNNNNNNNNNNNNNNNNNNNNNNNNNNNNNNNNNNNNNNNNNNNNNNNNNNNNNNNNNNNNNNNNNNNNNNNNNNNNNNNNNNNNNNNNNNNNNNNNNNNNNNNNNNNNNNNNNNNNNNNNNNNNNNNNNNNNNNNNNNNNNNNNNNNNNNNNNNNNNNNNNNNNNNNNNNNNNNNNNNNNNNNNNNNNNNNNNNNNNNNNNNNNNNNNNNNNNNNNNNNNNNNNNNNNNNNNNNNNNNNNNNNNNNCGAAUGAAUCCUCACGAUUGCAACGAAACGGGAACUAUCGAGAAGAAGCACACAACAUAGUAAACACACCACACAUGACAAGACAUGAUGCACAACAAGCAUGAUGCAUGACAAAGCUACAUUGAGCUACUCAUGGCAAGAGAUGAAGCAUACAAGAGCAACACAUCAAGGCAAGUUUAAAUAAGGCCGGGAACAACAUAUAACAAUUUCGGUAAGUCCUCAUGUGCAUAUUUCGAAAUUGGUCCAGAACUGAAUAAACCUUAUGUUCAAGUUAUUAAACAGCAAGUUAAAGAUCACCAAGAUGAUCUACACGAAAUUCUAGUCAAGUUACAUAUAAAGUUCAUUUAAUUCGGAGCUACGGCCUAGAAGAUAUGAGCAAAACAAGUUCAACAUGGCAUUGAUGCAAAAUGCACCCAAACAUCAAGCAAACACCUCAAAACAAGGAUGCAAUAUGAUAAUAUGAAUCUACAUGCAAAAACAAGCAAGUUUCAUAUAGAGCACACUCAAAACGGAGCAACGGUGCAACACACACACACUAUACAAGUCAUAACAACAAUCUGUCCAUAACAGCAUCUAGGCAUCUUGCAAGCAUCAAAACAAUAAACUAAAGCACCCCAACAUAAUAACAAAAGGCAUGGGCAUAAAGUACAGGUAAAGCAUAACAAAACAUGAACACUGAGCUAUCUCCAGAAAUCACUAGAACAUGCUCCAAAACACAUGGUAAGAUUGCAAAUAAUAACAGUUUCAAACUUUAGCAGAAAUAAUAUCAGGUUGCAAUGUUUAGAGCUAUCAAACAACAUAUUAUAGGAACAUAUCAUGGCAAACAAAGGCAUGGCAUGAAUCUACUAAUUGCAUAGAUCAAAAGUCCCUUACUGACCAUGAGCCAAAAAGGAUCAGAAAAUAUGAUGGCACCCAUGUAAACAUGGCAAGUUAUAUUACAGAUUCAAACAUGGCAGAAACAACAAUAAGUAGGCAUGUUGGUGAGCUUGUACCACCCACCACAGAGCAAAGCAUGGCAUGGCAAGGCACCCAACAGUAAGAAGGCAUGUUUAUGAAGCUAAGCAUGGCAAGAUCAAGGUCAUAGGGGGCAUGGAACACUAGCAAAACACAUGGGAACUAGUGAACUUAAUGUUAACAGGCUGAUAGCAACAUUAUCAAGCAACUUUGGAGCAAGAUAUGAACAAUCUACAGCAAGCUAUAAAUGCAACCAGGGGCAUGGAUGGAUAGGGCAUAACAUGUAGAUCAAAACAUGUUUAUAGAACAUCUCCAGAUUAUACACGAAAUGACUAGUAGAAGCAUGUUUACAUAGCAACAAAAUAUAACAGAAUCUGUCAGGAAAACAGCAAAAGCAACUAUCCUACUUAGCAAGCUUGAUACACUCAGCACACAACUCACAAAAAUACAUGACAAGCACCUCUGGAAAGAUGGCAUAGCAUAGAUCAACAUACAUGUAGGCAUCAACCUCAUAGGAUGCACACAUCAAUCAUGGCAAAAAUGAUAAAUGAGCAAGUUAUAACAGUUUCAGCAGAUUAACAUCAACAUGCACUCUUCCAACAGAAUUUUGGGCACCAAGAUGAGCUCAAAUUAAAAUGAUGCAAUGGAAUGAAAUGAAGUACUCAUCGAGGCGAACAAUUUGACAUAUUGUACGUACGAAACGGAGCUACGGAUGCAGAGAUGUGAUGCGAUGAAUAUGGCAUGUUUAUGCAAAAAUCCUGAGGACUUAGACGAAUUUGGAGGUCAACCUUAGGGUUUCUCAGAUCCGAUCUGGAUCCGGGCGCGCCGCCGCCCCGCCGNNNNNNNNNNNNNNNNNNNNNNNNNNNNNNNNNNNNNNNNNNNNNNNNNNNNNNNNNNNNNNNNNNNNNNNNNNNNNNNNNNNNNNNNNNNNNNNNNNNNNNNNNNNNNNNNNNNNNNNNNNNNNNNNNNNNNNNNNNNNNNNNNNNNNNNNNNNNNNNNNNNNNNNNNNNNNNNNNNNNNNNNNNNNNNNNNNNNNNNNNNNNNNNNNNNNNNNNNNNNNNNNNNNNNNNNNNNNNNNNNNNNNNNNNNNNNNNNNNNNNNNNNNNNNNNNNNNNNNNNNNNNNNNNNNNNNNNNNNNNNNNNNNNNNNNNNNNNNNNNNNNNNNNNNNNNNNNNNNNNNNNNNNNNNNNNNNNNNNNNNNNNNNNNNNNNNNNNNNNNNNNNNNNNNNNNNNNNNNNNNNNNNNNNNNNNNNNNNNNNNNNNNNNNNNNNNNNNNNNNNNNNNNNNNNNNNNNNNNNNNNNNNNNNNNNNNNNNNNNNNNNNNNNNNNNNNNCCGCGCCCGCCGGCGCCCGGCGCGCCGCCGACCGUCCCCGCGCCGGCGCUCGCCGGCGCCCGGCGCGCCGCCGACCGUCCCCGCGCCGGCGCUCGCCGCCACCCGCGCCUCGUGUGCCUCUGCCGCGCCGGCUCCCGGCCGGCCCGCGCCCCGCCGUCAGCCCGCGCGCCCCGCCGCCUCCUCCUCGUCCCCGGCCAGAUCCGGCGAGGAUCCGGCCAGAUCCGCCGCCCCCCGCCCGUUCUCCGGCGAGAACUCCGGCCCCACCUCGGCAUCCGUGCCCGCAGGUUGACUUUCCCCCGAAAUGCCUAAGUCCCCGUUUCAUUUACAUAAUCAUGCCAUGUUUGACCUGCUGUAUCUCUGCAUCCGUAGCUCCGUUUCGUGCGUAUAAUAUGUCAAAUUGUUCGUCUCGAUGAGUACUUCAUUUCAUUCCAUUGCAUCAUUUUCAUUUGAGUUCAUCUUGAUGCCCGAAAUGCUGUUGGAAGAGUGCAUGUUGAUGUUAAUCUGCUGAAACUGUUAUAACUUGCUCAUUUAUCAUUUUUGCCAUGAUUGAUGUGUGCAUCCUAUGAGGUUGAUGUCUACAUGUAUGUUGAUCCAUGCCAUGCCGUCUUUCCAGGGGUGUUAACCAUGUAUUUUUGUGAGUUGUGUGCUGAGUGUAUCAGCUUGCUAAGUAGGGUAGUUGCUGUUGCUGUUUUCCUGACAGAUUCUGUUAUAUUUUGUUGUUAUGUAAACAUGCUUCUACUAAUCAUUGUGUGCAUAAUAUGGAGAUGUUCUAUAAGCAUGUUUUGAUCUACAUGUCUUUCUCUAUCCAUUCAUGCCCUUGGCUACAAUUAUAGCCUGCUGUAUCAUGUUGUAAUCUUGCUCCAAAGUUGCUUGAAAAUGUUGCUGUCAACCUGUUUAACAUGAAGUUCACUUGUUCCCAUGUGAUUUGCUAGUGAUCCAUGUAUCCUAUGAACUUGUUCUUGCCAUGCUUAGCUUCAUAAACAUGUCUCCUUACUGUUGGUUGCCUUGCCAUGCCAUGUAUUGCUCUGUGGUGAGUGGUUCAAGCUCACGAACAUGCCUACUUAUUGUUGUUCCUGCCAUAUAGGAAUCUGUAAUAUAACUUGCCAUGUUUACAUGGGUGCCAUCAUAUUUUCUGUGACCUUUUGGCUCAUGGUCAGUAAGGGACUGUUGUUCUAUGCAUUUAGUAGUAUCAUGCCAUGCCUUUGUUUGCCAUGAUAUGUUCCUGUAGUAUGUUGUUUGAUAGCUCUAAACAUUGCAACCUGAUGUUAUUUCUGCUAAAGUCUGAAACUGUUAUUAUUUGCAAUAUCUCCAUGUGUUUUUGAGCAUGUUCUAGUUGUUUCUGGAGAUAGCUCAGUGUUCAUGUUUUGUUAUGCUUUACCUGUACUUCAUGCCCAUGUCUUUUGUUUUUAUGUUGGGGUGCUGUAGCAUGUUGUUUUGAUGCUUGUAAGAUGCCUAGUUGCUAUUAUGGACAGAUUGUUGUUAUGACUCGUAUAGUGUGCAUGUGUUGAACUGUUUCUCCGUUUUGAGUGUGCUCUAUAUGAAACUUGCUUGAUUUUGCAUGUAGUUUCAUAUUACCAUGUUGCAUCUUUGUUCUGGUGUGUUUGCUUGAUGUUUGGGUGCAUUUUGCAUCAAUGCCAUGCUUAACUUGUUUUGCUCAUAUCUUCUAGGCCGUAGUUCCGAAUCUAAUGAACUUUAUAUGUAACUUGACUAGAAUCUCGUGUAGAUCAUCUUGGUGAAUCUUAACUUGCUGUUUAACAACUUGAACAUAAGGUUUAUUCAGUUCUGGACCAAUUUCGAAAUUUGCAUAUGAGGACUUACCGGAAUUGUUAUAUGUUGUUCCCGGCCUCAUUUAAACUUGCCUUGAUGUGUUGUUCUUGUUUGCAUCAUCUCUUGCCAUGAGUAGCUUCAUGUAGCUUUGUCAUGCAUCAUGCUUGUUGUGCAUCAUGUCUUGUUCAUGUGUGGUGUGUUUACCAUGUUGUGUGCUUCUUCUUGUUAGUUCCUGUUUCGUUGCGAUCGUGAGGAUUCGUUCAUCUACGGUUGGUUCGGCUUCAUCCGUUCGUCUUCUUCAUGGACUCGUUCUUCUUCCUUGCGGGAUUUCAGGCAAGAUGACCUCUACCCUGGAUCUCACUACUAUCAUUGCUAUGCUAGUUGUUUCGUUCUAUCGCUAUGCUGCGCUACCUAUUACCUGUUUAUCAAGCCAUCCUAUGUUGCCAUGAACCCCUAACCUUUGACACCUUUCCUAUGCAAACCGUUGUUUGGCUAUGUUACCGCUUUGCUCAGCCCUUCUUAUAGCGUUGCUAGCUGCAGGUGAAGUUGAAGAUUUUCUCCAUGGUGGACAGGGUUUAUGUUGGCAUAUCACAAUAUCUCUUAUAUUAUUAAUGCAUCUAUAUAUCUGGUAAAGGGUGGAAGGCUCAGCCUUAUGCCUGGUGUUUUGUUCCACUCUUGCCGCCCUAGUUUCCGUCAUACCGGUGUUAUGUUCCCGGAUUUUGCGUUCCUAACGCGGUCGGGUGAUUUAUGGGACCCCCCUGACAGUUCGCUUUGAAUAAAACUCCUCCAGCAAGGCCCAACAUUGGUUUUACCAUUUGCCUCACCACCACCUAUAUUUCCCUUGGGAGUAAUUAACCCAAGGGUCAUCUUUAUUCAGCCCCCCCGGGCCAAUGCUUGUCUAAGUGUUGGUCCAAACUAGAGCCCUUUGCAGCGCCCCCUCAGGGAAACUUGAGGUCUGGUUUUAGUUGUACGGACUGCUCAUCCGGUCGUGGCCUGAGACGAGAUACGCGCGGCUACUAUCAGGAUGUAGGCACGCCGGGAGGUCUUGCUGGUCUUGUUUUACCAUUGUCGAAAUGUCUUGUAAACCGGGAUUCCGAGACUGAUCGGGUCUUCCUAGGAGAAGGUAUAUUCCUUCGUUGAUCGCGAGAGCUUGUCAUGGGCUAAGUUGGGACACCCCUGUAGGGUAUAAACUUUUGAGAGCCAUGGCCGCGGUUAUGUGGCAGAUGGGAAUUUGUUAAUGUCCGGUUGUAGAUAACUUGACACCAGAUCCGAAUUAAAACGCAUCAACCGAGUGUGUAGCCGUGAUGGUCUCUUCUCGGCGGAGUCCGGGAAGUGAACACGGUUUCUGUGUUAUGUUUGACGUAAGUAGGAGUUCAGGAUCACCUCUUGAUCAUUGCUAGUUUCACGACCGUUCCUUUUGCUCUCUUCUCGCUCUCUUUUGCGGAUGUUAGCCACCAUAUCAUGCUUAGUCGCUGCUGCAACCUCACCACUUUACCCCUUCCUUUCCCAUUAAGCUUUGCUAGUCUUGAUACCCAUGGUAAUGGGAUUGCUGAGUCCUCGUGGCUCACAGAUUACUACAACAAUAGUUGCAGGUACAGGUUAUGCGAUGAUCUUGACGCGAGAGCGAUGUUUGCUUGUUUGGAGUUCUUCUUCUGCUUCUUCUUCGAUCAGGGGAUAGAUUCCAGGUCGGCAGCCUGGGCUAGCAGGGUGGAUAUCGUUUGAGCUUCUGUUUGUGUUUCAUCCGUAGUCGGAUGAUGCUCUGAUGUAUUGUGAUGUAUUAUUGUAUUCGUGUGGCAUUGUAUGCCUUAUGUAUGUAUCCCCAUCUAUUAUGUAAUGUUGAUGUAAUGAUAUCCACCUUGCAAAAGCGUUCCAAUAUGCGGGUCUAUCCUUGGUGGGACCUUCGAGUUCCUUUUGGAUAGGGUCGCAUAUUGGGUGUGACAACCAUGAUCUUGCGUGUGCGUAGGAUUUUUUUUUUGAAAUUACUAUGUUCCCCAACAGUGGCAUCCGAGCCUAGGUUUUAUGCGUUGAUGUUAUAUGCACGAGUAGAACACAAGUGAGUUGUGGGCGAUACAAGUCAUACUGCUUACCAGCAUGUCAUACUUUGGUUCGACGGUAUUGUUGGAUGAAGCGGCCCGGACCGACAUUACGCGUACGCUUACGUGAGACUGGUUCUACCGACGUGCUUUGCACACAGGUGGCUGGCGGGUGUCAGUUUCUCCAACUUUAGUUGAACCGAAUGUGGCUACGCCCGGUCCUUGCGAAGGUUAAAACAGCACUAACUUGACAAACUAUCAUUGUGGUUUUGAUGCGUAGGUAAGAACGGUUCUUUCUCAGCCCGUAGCAGCCACGUAAAAUUUGCAACAACAAAGUAGAGGACGUCUAACUUGUUUUUGCAGGGCAUGUUGUGAUGUGAUAUGGUCAAGACGUGAUGAGAUAUAAGUUGUUGUAUGAAAUGAUCAUGUUUUGUUGAAGUUAUCGGCAACUGGCAGAAGCCAUAUGGUUGUCUCUUUGUUGCAUAAAGAUGCAAGUGCCAAAUAAUUGCUUUACUUUAUCGCUAUGUGAUAGCAAUAGUUGCAAGAGCAAUAGUUGGCGAGACGACCAUGUGACGACACAUUGAUAUAGAUCAAGAUGAUGAAGAUCAUGGUGUCGUGCCGGUGACGAUAGAGAUCAUGACAGUACUUUGGAGAUGGAGAUCAAAGGCGCAAUAUGAUCAUGGCCAUAUCAUAUCUCAUAUUUUAAUUGCAUAUGAUGUUUAUCUGUUAUACAUCUUAUUCUGUUUUGAUUGACGGUAGCAUUUUAGGAUGAUCUCUCACUAAAUUAUCAAGAAGUGUUCUCCCUGAGUAUGCACCGUUGCCAAAGUUCGUCGUGCCCAGACACCACGUGAUGAUCGGGUGUGAUAAGCUCAACGUCCAUCUACAACGGGUGCAAGCCAGUUUUGCACACGCAGAAUCCUCAGGUUAAACUUGACGAGCCUAGCAUAUGCAGAUAUGGCCUCGGAACACGGAGAUCGAAAGGUCGAGCGUGAAUCAUAUAGUAGAUAUGAUCAACAUAUUGAUGUUCACCGUUGAAACUACUCCAUCUCACAUGACGAUCAGACAUGGUGUAGUUGAUAUGGAUCACGUAAUCACUUAGAAGAUUAGAGGGAUGUCUAUCUAAGUGGGAGUUCUUAAGUAAUAUGAUUAAUUGAACUUAAAUUUAUCAUGAACUUAGUCCUGGUAGUAUUUUGCAAAUUAUGUUGUAGAUCAAUAGCUCGCAUUGUUGCUUUCAUGUGUUUAUUUUGAUAUGUUCCUAGAGAAAACUGUGUUGAAAGAUGUUAGUAGCAAUGAUGCGGAUUGGAUCCGUGAUCUGAGGUUUAUCCUCAUUGCUGCACAGAAGAAUUAUGUCCUUAAUGCACCGCUAGGUGACAAACCUAUUACAGGAGCAGAUGUAGACGUUAUGAACGUUUGGCUAGCUCAAUAUGAUGACUACUUGAUAGUUUAGUGCACCAUGCUUAACGGCUUAGAAUCGGGACUUCAAAGACGUUUUGAACGUCAUGGACCAUAUGAGAUGUUCCAGGAAUUGAAGUUAAUAUUUCAAGCAAAUACCCGAGUUGAGAGAUAUGAAGUCUCCAACAAGUUCUAUAGCUAAAAGAUGGAGGAGAAACGCUCAACUAGUGAGCAUGUGCCCAGAUUGUCUGGGUACUUCAAUCGCUUGAAUCAAGUGGGAGUUAAUCUUCCAGAUAAGAUAGUGAUUGACAAAAUUCUCUAGUCACCAUCACUAAGUUACUAGAACUUCGUGAUGAACUCUAGUAUGCAAGGGAUGACAAAAACGAUUCCCGAGCUCUUCGUGAUGUUGAAAUCAACGAAGGUAGAAAUCAAGAAAGAGCAUCAAGUGUUGAUGAUUGACAAGACCACUAGUUUCAAGAAAAGGGCAAAGGGAAAGAAAUGGAAACUUCAAGUAGAAUGGCAAACAAGUUGUCACUCCCAUGAAGAAUACCAAAGCUGGACCAAAGCCUGAAACUGUGUUUACACUGCAAAGGAAAUGGUCACUGGAAGCGGAAAUGCUCUAAAUAUUUGAUGGAUAUGAAGGAUGGCAAAGUGAACAAGGGUAUAUUUGAUAUACAGGUGUUUGAUGUGUGCCUUACUAGUGUUUAUAGUAGCCCCUGAGUAUUUGAUACUUGUUCAGUUGCUAAGAUUAGUAACUCAAAACAGGAGUUACAGAAUAAACACAGACUAGUUGAAGGGUGAAGUGACGAUGAGUGUUGGAAGUAGUUCCAAGAUUGAUAUGAUCAUCAUCGUACACUCCCUAUACUUUCGAGAUUAAUGUUAAACCUAAAUAAAUGUUAUUUGGCGUUUGCGUUGAGCAUGAAUAUGAUUUGAUCAUGUUUAUUGCAAUACGGUUAUUCAUUUAAAGUCAAAGAAUAAUUGUUGUUCUAUUUACAUGAAUAAAACCCUCAAUGGUCAUACACCCAAUGAAAAUAGUUUGUUGGAUCUCGAUUGUAGUGAUACACAUAUUCAUAAUAUUGAUGCCAAAAGAUGCAAAGUUAAUAAUGAUAGUGCAACCUAUUAGUGGCACUACCGUUUAAGUCAUAUUGGUGUAAAGCGCAUGAAGAAACUCCAUGCUGAUGGGAUUUCGGAAUCACUUGAUUAUGAAUCAUUUGAUGCUUGCGAACCGUGCCUUUUGGGCAAGAUGACUAAAACUCCGUUCUCCGGAACAAUGGAACGAGCUACUGACUUAUUGGAAAUAGUACAUACCGAUGUAUGGGAUCCAAUGAGUGUUGAUGCUCGUGGAAAGUAUCAUUAUUUUCUGACCUUCACAAGAUGAUUUGAGCAGAUAUGGGUAUAUCUACUUGAUGAAACAUAAGUAUGAAAUAGUUGGAAGGUUCAAAGAAUUUCAGAGUGAAGUAGAAAAAUCAUCGUAACAAGAAAAUAAAGUUUCUGUCAUCUGAUCGCGGAGACGAAUAUUUGAGUUACGAGUUUGGUCUUCAAAUAAAACAAUGUGGAAUAGUUUCACAGCUCACGCCACCUGGAACACCACAACGUUAUGGUGUGUCCGAACGUCGUAACCGCACUUUAUUGGAUAUGGUGCGAUCUAUGAUGUCUGUUAUCGGUUUACCACUAUUGUUUUGGGUUUGUGCAUUAGAGACAGCUGCAUUCACGUUAAAAGGGAACCAUCUAAAUCCGUUGAGACGACAGCAUAUGAACUGUGGUUUAGCAAGAAACCCAAGUUGUCGUUUCUUAAAGUUUGGGGCUGCGAUGCUUAUGUGAAAAAGUUUCAUCUUGAUAAGCUCAAACCCAAAUUGGAGAAGUGCAUCUUCAUAGAAUACCCAAAGGAAACUGAUGGGUACACCUUCUAUCACAGAUCCGAAGGCAAGAUAUUCGUUGCUAAAAAUGGAUCAUUUCUAGAGAAGGAGUUUCUCUCGAAAGAAGUGAGUGGGAGGAAAGUAGAACUUGAUGAGGUAACUGUACCUUCUCCCGAAUUGGAAAAUAGUUCAUCACUAAAAUCAGUUCCAGUGAUUCCUACACCAAUUAGUGAGGAAGCUAAUGAUGAUGAUCAUGAAACUUCAGAUCAAGUUACUACAGAACUGUUGGAAAUAUGCCCUAGAGGCAAUAAUAAAAGUAUUAUUAUUAUAUUUCCUUGUUCAUGAUAAUUGUCUUUUAUUCAUGCUAUAACUGUAUUAUCCGGAAAUCGUAAUACACGUGUGAAUACAUAGACCACAAUAUGUCCCUAGUGAGCCUCUAGUUGACUAGCUCGUUGUGAUCAACAGAUAGUCAUGGUUUCCUGGCUAUGGACAUUGGAUGUCAUUGAUAACGGGAUCACAUCAUUAGGAGAAUGAUGUGAUGGACAAGACCCAAUCCUAAGACUAGCACAAAAGAUCGUGUAGUUCAUUUGCUAGAGCUUUGCCAAUGUCAAGUAUCUCUUCCUUCGACCAUGAGAGCGUGUAACUCCUGGAUACCGUAGGAGUGCUUUGGGUGUAUCAAACGUCACAACGUAACUGGGUGACUAUAAAGGUGCACUACAGGUAUCUCCGAAAGUAUCUAUUGUUUUAUGCGGAUCGAGACUGGGAUUUGUCACUCCGUGUAAACGGAGAGGUAUCUCUGGGCCCACUUGGUAGGACAUCAUCAUAUGCGCAAUGUGACCAAGGAGUUGAUCACGGGAUGAUGUGUUACGGAACAAGUAAAGUGACUUGCCGGUAACGAGAUUGAACAAGGUAUUGGAUACCGACGAUCGAGUCUCGGGCAAGUAACAUACCGAUAGACAAAGGGAAUUGAAUACGGGAUUGAAUAAGUCCUUGACAUCGUGGUUCAUCCGAUGAGAUCAUCGUGGAACAUGUGGGAGCCAUCAUGGGUAUCCAGAUACCGCUGUUGGUUAUUGACCGGAGAACGUCUCGGUCAUGUCUGCAUGUCUCCCGAACCCGUAGGGUCUACACACUUAAGGUUCGAUGACGCUAGGGUUAUAAAGGAAGCUUGUAUGUGGUUACCGAAUGUUGUUCGGAGUCCCGGAUGAGAUCCCGGACGUCACGAGGAGUUCCGGAAUGGUCCAGAGGUAAAGAUUUAUAUAUGGGAAGUCCUGUUUUGGUCACCGGAAAAGUUUUGGGCGAUAUCGGUAUUGUACCGGGACCACCGGGAGGGUCCCGGGGGUCCACCAAGUGGGGCCACCUGCCCCAGAAGGCUGCGUGGGCCAAGUGUGGGAGGGUACCAGCCCCUAGGAGGGCUGGUGCGCCCCCCACAAGGGGGCCAAGGCGCAAGAGAGAGUGGGAGGGGGCAAACCCUAGUCCAGAUGGGCCUUAAGGCCCAUAUUGGUGCGCCUCCCUCUCCUCUCCCCCUCUUGGCCGCCUCCCCAAGUCCCAUCUAGGGCUGGCCGCACCCCUUGGGGUGGGAAACCCUAAAGGGGGCGCAGCCCCCUUCUCCCCUAUAUAAAUAGAGGCCUGGGGCUGCCCAUAAUACAUGAGAACUUCUCCUCUCGUUGGUGCAGCCCUGCCUCUCCUCCUCCUCCUCUCCCAUGGUGCUUGGCGAAGCCCUGCUGGAUUGCCACGCUCCUCCAUCACCACCACGCCGUUGUGCUGCUGUUGGAUGGAGUCUUCCUCAACCUCUCCCUCUCUCCUUGCUGGAUCAAGGCGUGGGAGACGUCACCGGGCUGUACGUGUGUUGAACGCGGAGGUGCCGUCCGUUCGACACUUGAUCAUCGGUGAUUUGAAUCACGACGAGUACGACUCCAUCAACCCCGUUCACUUGAACGCUUCCGCUUAGCGAUCUACAAGGGUAUGUUGAUGCACUCUCUUUCUACUCGUUGCUGGUUUCUCCAUAGAUAGAUCUUGGUGACGCGUAGGAAAAUUUUGAAUUUCUGCUACGUUCCCCAACAGUGGCAUCAUGAGCUAGGUCUAUUGCGUAGAUUCUUUGCACGAGUAGAACACAAAGUAGUUGUGGGCGUUAAUGUUGUUCAAUAUGCUUACCGUUACUAGUCCAAUCUUGUUUCGACGGUAUUGUGGGAUGAAGCGGCCCGGACCGACCUUACACGUACUCUUACGUGAGACAGGUUCCACCGAUUAACAUGCACUUGGUGCAUAAGGUGGCUAGCGGGUGCCAGUCUCUCCCACUUUAGUCGGAACGGAUUCGAUGAAAAGGGUCCUUAUGAAGGGUAAAUAGCAAUUGGCAUAUCACGUUGUGGUUUUGCGUAGGUAAGAAACGUUCUUGCUAGAAACCCAUAGCAGCCACGUAAAACAUGCAAACAACAAUUAGAGGACGUCUAACUUGUUUUUGCAGGGUAUGCUUUGUGAUGUGAUAUGGCCAACAAGAAUGUGGUGAAUAAUAUGUGAUGUAUGAGAUUGAUCAUGUUCUUGUAAUAGGAUUCACGACUUGCAUGUCGAUGAGUAUGAAAACCGGCAGGAGCCAUAGGAGUUGUCUUUAUUUAUUGUAUGACCUGCAUGUCAUUGAACAACGCCAUGUAAAUUACUUUACUUUAUUGCUAAACGCGUUAGCCAUAGAAGUAGAAGUAGUCGUUGGCGUGACAACUUCAUGAAGACACGAUGAUGGAGAUCAUGAUGAUGGAGAUCAUGGUGUCAUGCCGGUGACGAUGAUGAUCAUGGAGCCCCGAAGAUGAAGAUCAAAAGGAGCAAAAUGAUAUUGGCCAUAUCAUGUCACUUUUUGAUUGCAUGUGAUGUUUAUCAUGUUUAUGCAUCUUGUUUACUUAGGACGACGGUAGUAAAUAAGAUGAUCCCUUACAAAAUUUCAAGAAGUGUUCUCCCCUAACUGUGCACCGUUGCUACAGUUCGUCGCUUCUAAGCACCACGUGAUGAUCGGGUGUGAUGGAUUCUUACGUUCACAUACAACGGGUGUAAGACAGUUUUACACAGCGAAAACACUUAGGGUUAACUUGAUGAGCCUAGCAUGUGCAGACAUGGCCUCGGAACACGGAGACCGAAAGGUCGAGCAUGAGUCGUAUAGUAGAUACGAUCAACAUGAAGAUGUUCACCGAUGAUGACUAGUCCGUCUCACGUGAUGAUCGGACACGGCCUAGUUGACUCGGAUCAUGUGAUUACUUAGAUGACCAGAGGGAUGUCUAUCUGAGUGGGAGUUCAUAAGAUGAACUUAAUUAUCCUGAACAUAGUCAAAAGACCUUUUUGCAAAUUAUGUCGUAAGCUCGCGCUUUAGUUCCACUGUUUAGAUAUGUUCCUAGAGAAAAUAUAGUUGAAAGUUGACAGUAGCGAUUAUGCGGAUAGUAGAACGCUUAUGUCCUUAAUGCACUGCUCAGUGUGCUGAACCCCAAACGUCGUUUGUGGAUGUUUCGAACAUCGAACAUACAUGUUUUGAUAACUACGUGAUAGUUCAGUUAAAUGGUUUAAGUAGAGGCACCAAAGACAUUUUCGAAACGUCGCGGAACAUAUGAGAUGUUUCGAGGGCUGAAAUUGGGAUUUCAGGCUCGUGCCCACGUCAAGAGGUAUGAGACCUCUGGCGAUUUUCUUAGCCUGCAAACUAAGGGAGAAAAGCUCAAUCGUUGAGCUUGUGCUCAGAUUGUCUGAGUGCAACAAUCACUUGAAUCAAGUGGGAGUUAAUCUUCCAGAUGAGAUAGUGAUGUUUCCCCAAAGUCAUUGCCACCAAGCUGCUAGAGCUUCGUGAUGAACUAUAACAUAUCAGGGAUAGAUAUGAUGAUCCUUGAAAUAUUCAUGAUGUUUGACACCGCGAAAGUAGAAAUCAAGAAGGAGCAUCAAUUGUUGAUGGUUGGUGAAACCACUAGUUUCAAGAAGGGCAAGGGAACAAAGGGAUACUUCAUGAAACGGCAAUUCAGCUGCUGCUCAAGUGAAGAAACCCAAGGUUGAAUCCAAACCCGAGACUAAGUGCUUCUGUAAUAAGGGGAACAACCACUGGAGCAGCAUUACCCUAGAUACUUGGUAGAUGAGAAGGCUGGCAAGGUCGAUAGAAGUAUAUUGGAUAUACAUUAUGUUAAUGUGUACUUUACUAGUACUCCUAGUAGCACCAGGGUAUUGGAUACCGGUUCGGUUGCUAAGUGUUAGUAACUCGAAAUAAAAGCUACGGAAUAAACGGAGACUAGCUAAAGGUGAGCUGACGAUAUAUGUUGGAAGUGUUUCCAAGGUUGAAUGAUCAAGCAUCGCACGCUCCCUCUACCACCGAGAUUGGUGUUUGCGUUGAGCAUAGACAUGAUUGGAUUAUGUCUAUCGCAAUACGGUUAUUCAUUUAAGGAGAAUAAUGGUUACUCUAUUUUUUGAAUAAUACCUUCAAUGGUCUUGCACCUAAAGGAAUGGUUUAUUGAAUCUCGGUCGUAUUGAUACACAUUUUCAUGCCAAAAGAUAUAAGAUAGUAAUGAUAGUACCACUUACUUGUGGCACUGCCAUGUAAGUCAUAAUGGUAUAAAACGCAUGAAGAAGCUCCAUGUUGAUGGAUCUUUGGACUCACUCGUUUUUGAAAAGUUUGAGACAUGCGAACCAUGUCUAUUGGUGUAUAUGCAUGAAGAAACUCCAUGCAAAUGGACCGUUCGGACUCACUUGAUUUUGAAUCACUUGAGAUAUGCAAAUCAUACCACAUAGGCAAGAUGACUGAAAAGCCUCGGUUUCAAUAAGAUGGAACAAGAUAGCAACUUGUUGGAAGUAACACAUUUUGAUGUGUGCAGUCCAAUAAAUGCUGAGGCAUGCAGUGAAUAUCGUUAUGUUCUUACUUCACAGAUGAUUCGAGUAGAUGUUGAGAAUAUUUACUUGAUGAAACACAACUCUGAAUUAUUGAAUGGUUCAAGUAAUUUCAGAGUGAAGUAGAAGAUCAUUGUGACAAGAGGAUAAAAUGUCUAUGAUACGAUCAUAGAGAUGAAUAUCUGAGUUACGUGUUUUGGCACACAAUUAAGACAUUGUGGAAAUUGUUUCAUAAUUAAUACCGCCUGGAACACCAUAGUGUGAUGGUGUGUCCGAACAUCAUAGUUGCACCCUAUUGGAUAUGGUGCGUACCAUGAUGUCUCUUAUCGAAUUACCACUAUCGUUCAUGGGUUAGGCAUUAGAGACAACCACAUUCACUUUAAAUAGGGCACCACGUAAUUCCGUUGAGAUGACACCGUAUGAAUUAUGGUUUAGAGAAACCUAAGUUGUCGUUUCUUAAAGGUUUGGGGCUGCGACGCUUAUGUGAAAAAGUUUCAGGAUUAAGCUCGAACCCAAAGCGGAUAAAAUACAUCUUCAUAGGACACCCAAAACAGUUGGGUAUACCUCCUAAUUCAGAUCCGAAAGCAAUAUGAAUUGUUUCUAGAAUCGGGUCCUUUCUCGAGGAAAGGUUUCUCUCGAAAGAGUUGAGUGGGAGGAUGGUGGAGGCUUGAUGAGGUUAUUGAACCGUCUCUUCAACUAGUGUGUGACAGGGCACAGGGAGUUGUUCCUGUGGCACCUACACCAAUUGAAGUGGAAGCUUAUGAUAGUGAUCAUGAAACUUCGGAUCAAGUCACUACCAAACCUCGUAGGAUGACAAGGAUGCGUACUACUUCAGAGUGGUACGUAAUCCUGUCUUGGAAGUCAUGUUGCUAGACAACAAUGAACCUACGAGCUAUGGAGAAGCGAUGGUGGGCCCGGAUUCCGAUAAAUGGCUUGAGGCCAUAAAAUCCGAGAGAGGAUCCAUGUACGAAAACAAAGUGUAGACUUUGGCAGAACGGCUCGAUGGUCGUAAGGCUAAUGAGUACAGAUGGAUUUCAAAAGGAAGACGGACAAUGAUGGUAAAUGUCACCAUUAAGAAAGCUCGACUUGUCAUUAAGAUGUUUUCCGACAAGUUCAAGGAGUUGACUACGAUGAGAUUUUCUCACUCGUAGCGAUGCUAAGAGUCUGUUGGAAUUAUAUUAGCGAUUACUGCAUUAUUUAUGAAAUCUUGCAGAUAGGAUGUCAAAACAUUGUUUCCUCGACGAUUUUAAUGAGGAAAUGUUGUAUGUGAUACAACUGGAAGGUUUUGUCAAUCCCGAAAGAUGCUAAUAAGUAUGCAAAGCUCCAGCAAUCCUUCUAAGGACUGGAGUGAGCAUCUCGGAGUUGGAAUGUAUGCUUUGAUGAUGAUCAAAAAUUUUGGGUUUGUACAAAGUUUAUGAGAAACUUGUAUUUCCAAAGAAGUGAGUGGGAGCACUAUAGAAUUUCUGAUGAGUAUAUGUUGUUGACAUAUUGAUGAUCAGAAAUGAUGUAGAAUUUCUAGAAAGCAUAUAGGGUUAUUUGAAAAGGAGUUUUUCAAUAGAAAACCUGGAUUAAGCUACUUGAACAUUGAGCAUCAAGAUCUAUGAGGAUGGAUCAAAACGCUUAAUGGUACUUUCAAAUGAGCACAUACCUUGACAUGAUCUUGAAGGUGUUCAAGAUGGACCAGUCAAAGAAGGAGUUCUUACCUGAGUUGUAAGGUACGAAGUUAAGACUUAAAGCUCGACCACGGCAGAAUAGAGAGAAAGGACGAAGGUCGUCCCCUAUGCUUAAGACGUAGGCUCUUCAGUAUGCUAUGCUGUGUACCGCACCUGAAGUGUGCCUUGCCAUGAGUCAGUCAAGGGGUACAAGAGUGAUCCAAGAAUGGCUCACAGGACAGCGGUCAAAGUUAUCCUUAGUAACUAGUGGACUAAGGAAUUUUCUCGAUUAUGGAGGUGGUAAAAGAGUUCGUCGUAAAGGGUUAUGUCGAUGCAAGCUUGACACCUAUCCGGAUAGAUCUGAGUAGAGAGACCGGAUACAUAUAAUGGAGCAAUAAUUUAGAAUAGCUCCAAGUAGAACAGUUAUUUGGAAUAGCUCCAAAUAGAGCGUGGUAGCUGCAUCUAGGAGAUGACAUAGAGAUUUGUAAAGCACACACGGAUCUGAAAGGUUCAGACCCAUUGACUAAAACCUCUCUCACAAGCAACAUGAUCAAACAUAAAACUCAUUGAGUGUUAAUCACAUAGUGAUGUGAACUAGAUUACUGACUCUAGUAAACUCUUGGGUAUUAGUCACAUGGCGAUGUGACCUGUGAGUGUUAAUCACAUGGUGAUGUGAACUAGAUUAUUGACUCUAGUGCAAGUGGGAGACUGUUGGAAAUAUGCCCUAGAGGCAAUAAUAAAAGUAUUAUUAUUAUAUUUCCUUUUUCAUGAUAAUUGUCUUUUAUUCAUGCUAUAACUGUAUUAUCCGGAAAUCGUAAUACACGUGUGAAUACAUAGACCACAAUAUGUCCCUAGUGAGCCUCUAGUUGACUAGCUCGUUGUGAUCAACAGAUAGUCAUGGUUUCCUGGCUAUGGACAUUGGAUGUCGUUGGUAACGGGAUCACAUCAUUAGGAGAAUGAUGUGAUGGACAAGACCCAAUCCUAAGACUAGCACAAAAGAUCGUGUAGUUCAUUUGCUAGAGCUUUGCCAAUGUCAAGUAUCUCUUCCUUCGACCAUGAGAGCGUGUAACUCCUGGAUACCGUAGGAGUGCUUUGGGUGUAUCAAACGUCACAACGUAACUGGGUGACUAUAAAGGUGCACUACAGGUAUCUCCGAAAGUAUCUAUUGUUUUAUGCGGAUCGAGACUGGGAUUUGUCACUCCGUGUAAACGGAGAGGUAUCUCUGGGCCCACUCGGUAGGACAUCAUCAUAUGCACAAUGUGACCAAGGAGUUGAUCACGGGAUGAUGUGUUACGGAACGAGUAAAGUGACUUGCCGGUAACGAGAUUGAACAAGGUAUUGGAUACCGACGAUCGAGUCUUGGGCAAGUAACAUACCGAUAGACAAAGGGAAUUGAAUACGGGAUUGAAUAAGUCCUUGACAUCGUGGUUCAUCCGAUGAGAUCAUCGUGGAACAUGUGGGAGCCAUCAUGGGUAUCCAGAUCCCGCUGUUGGUUAUUGACCGGAGAACGUCUCGGUCAUGUCUGCAUGUCUCCCGAACCCGUAGGGUCUACACACUUAAGGUUCGAUGACGCUAGGGUUAUAAAGGAAGCUUGUAUGUGGUUACCGAAUGUUGUUCGGAGUCCCGGAUGAGAUCCCGGACGUCACGAGGAGUUCCGGAAUGGUCCGGAGGUAAAGAUUUAUAUAUGGGAAGUCCUGUUUUGGUCACCGGAAAAGUUUCGGGCGAUAUCGGUAUUGUACCGGGACCACCGGGAGGGUCCCGGGGGUCCACCAAGUGGGGCCACCUGCCCCAGAAGGCUGCGUGGGCCAAGUGUGGGAGGGGACCAGCCCCUAGGAGGGCUGGUGCGCCCCCCACAAGGGGGCCAAGGCGCAAGAGAGAGUGGGAGGGGGCAAACCCUAGUCCAGAUGGGCCUUAAGGCCCAUAUUGGUGCGCCUCCCUCUCCUCUCCCCCUCUUGGCCGCCUCCCCAAGUCCCAUCUAGGGCUGGCCGCACCCCUUGGGGUGGGAAACCCUAAAGGGGGCGCAGCCCCCUUCUCCCCUAUAUAAAUAGAGGCCUGGGGCUGCCCAUAAUACAUGAGAACUUCUCCUCUCGUUGGUGCAGCCCUGCCUCUCCUCCUCCUCCUCUCCCAUGGUGCUUGGCGAAGCCCUGCUGGAUUGCCACGCUCCUCCAUCACCACCACGCCGUUGUGCUGCUGUUGGAUGGAGUCUUCCUCAACCUCUCCCUCUCUCCUUGCUGGAUCAAGGCGUGGGAGACGUCACCGGGCUGUACGUGUGUUGAACGCGGAGGUGCCGUCCGUUCGGCACUUGAUCAUCGGUGAUUUGAAUCACGACGAGUACGACUCCAUCAACCCCGUUCACUUGAACGCUUCCGCUUAGCGAUCUACAAGGGUAUGUAGAUGCACUCUCUUUCUACUCGUUGCUGGUUUCUCCAUAGAUAGAUCUUGGUGACGCGUAGGAAAAUUUUGAAUUUCUGCUACGUUCCCCAACAAGAACCUCGUAGGUCUUCCAGAGUACGGUCCGCACCAGAGUAGUACGGUAAUCCUGUUCUGAAAGUCAUGUUACUAGACUAUGAUAAACCUACGAACUAUGAGGAAGCGAUGAUGAGCCCAGAUUCCGCGAAAUGGCUGGAGGCCAUGAAAUCUGAGAUAGGAUCCAUGUAUGAGAACAAAGUGUGGAUUUUGGUGGACUUGCCCGAUGAUCGGCAAACCAUAAGAAAUAAAUGGAUCUUCGUUCCUGUGUCUGUCCCUUCAGGGAAAUGUCACGCUUUGAGUACCGGAGUCCUGUUAGCCCGCUACAGCCCGGUUUACCGGAGUCCUGCUAGCCCAGUGCUACAGCCCGGACCCAUUUGCUGAUGACCGACACGUUCAAAGCUGGGUCAUGGAUGCCUGUCCCUGUAAGUCUGUGCCACUUUGGGUUUACGACUAGUCAUGUCAGCCCGGGCUCUUUAUCAUAUGGAUGCUAGCGACACUAUCAUAUACGUGAGCCAAAAUACGCAAACGGUCCCGGGCAAAGGUAAGGCGACACCCGUGGGGAUACCGUGCGUGAGGCCGCAAAGUGAUAUGAGGUGUUACCGGCUAGAUCGAUGUGACAUCGAGUCGGGGUCCUGACAGCGUUGGCAUCAGAGCCGGACUGCCUGUAGGUUCUCCAAGCCAAACUGGUCGAUGUUGAGUCUAGAAAUUCUUUAGUUAUAUGUAGGGGAAUUGUUUGUGGGUUGGAACGUAAGGCUCUUUUUACUCCUUUAUCUUAUGACAUUCUGAUCUGAGUCAGUCCAUUCUUCCACCGAGGGUUAAGGAAUUAGGAUCUGUUCUCUCUAUCAGGAUCACGUGUUACUAAUCAGUAGUACCUUAUAAGUUUGAUGGAUACAAGCCUAGUUCAGUUCUACUACCACAUUAUGUUGUUAGAAUGGAUUCAGAACUUUGAUAUGAUGAUGUUGAGUGUGUACGAAAUCCUUUGUCAAAUGUCUCAAAAUCCUUCUUGAGCAUUUACAGCUGUUAUGCUGCCGAAAUUUUGCUAGAAAUUCUAAUGCCCUUGCAUUAUGAUUGUGCUUUCAGAUGGCCACUCGCGACCUCAAUCAAGUGGUUCGCCUGACUCGAUGCCUAGAUGUACCCGGCCAUACUGCCAAGUUGGUCAGGGUAAUGACUGAGGCUGGAUACCGUUGGUAUCCUGAGUACACGGUCGAAGAGCAAUUUCGGGACUUCAAUCAAAGCCAGUAUCUCUGCACUGUCUGGAUAUUUCCAUCUUAUCCUGGAUCCUCUAAGCCCCUUCACUGCUCCUAUGGACUCGGGGUUACUAUUGAGAUGGCUGUGCAGGACGCCGCCUACUCUAUGAUGACCAUUAUGCGAGUCAGAUCUGGUCUAUUUCGGGACUCUGAUUUCCGGUAUAUGCCAGGAUCACUUCCGGGAGCACAAGGGUAUCUCCAGGCUAUCUAUGCUGACCCCACUCAGGAGGAUUCACGGACUCACACCACUGCUGAGAUGCUCGAGGAUAAGGACCGUGAAAAUCGGGCCUUAAGGUUAGAGCUCUUCAAUACCCGUGCUGACCACUGGGCCACUUUGACUCGGUUUGCACCGGCGGUGCAAGCUGGAUAUUCAGAUAUGCGCGAUCUCUAUCCUGUGAGAUCUGCUCUGCCAGACGUGAUGGGUUGGCGUGAUGUAGGAGGCAUCACCCCACCUCGUGGUCCCCGCAGGCCACCGUCUGUUGGUCCAAGACCUCAUCCUAGCCCCUAUGGUCCACAAGCUCCGCGAGAUCGUCUGUUUCCGGAUGAUCAUGUUGAGCUUCCAGGCUAUGGAGGUGACUUCUACGAGGACUACUACGGAUCAGUCUGAGUUAGUGGUAGUAUCACUAGUUCGCACUAGCUGUGUCGUCUAUCGUCCCGCGUGACUCGUGGGAUAUGACCUAGUUUGUACUCUUUCCGGAGGAGUAGAAAAAUAAUGUAUAGGAGCUUGGAAUGCCUCCGAUGAGAUGUAAUCCCCUUUCACCGUAAUAGUACUUUGUUUGGUCUUGUACUAAACCCUGUAUGGUGUGUAUGACGAUGGAAUAAAGAAGCAGUUUCUGUAUCUACCAUGUCAUACGGAUGAUCAUCUUGCAUUUCGAGUUAUUCCUUACAUUCUGUAUCCUAUGUCGGAAUUUUAUCAUUCUGACUAAAUCAUUGUCUUGUUUACCUAGGAUGGUCAACACGCGCGCUAACCCUGCUUCUCAAGAGCAGGCCGAAGGCAGUGAAGCCAGGGAUGCAAAUUUGCCUCAUCCUCCUUCACUAGCCGAGGUUAUGAUGGAAGCUGAGAGAAACAAGCGGGAGACCAACCGUUUGUUAGAACGUAUUGAACAGAACACAACACACCAUCAGAGGACUAACGUGGUGUCACUCAGUGAUUUUAUCAAAUUGCAUCCACCCACGUUCCACCACUCCGUCGAGCCUCUCGACGCUGAUGACUGGCUUCGCAGUAUCGCUCACAAACUGCGUUCCGCGCUGGUAGCGGAGGCUGACAAGGUCACCUUUGCUGCAUAUCAUCUUGAAGGCCCCGCCAGUCUAUGGUGGGAGAAUUAUGGAGCUAUGCGCCCGGCGGGCCAUGUCACUACUUGGGCUGAGUUCAGUGAGGCUUUCCGUGAACAUCACAUUCCGGAGGGUCUCAUGGACCGUAAACGUGAAGAAUUUUGCAGUUUCACCCAAGGCCGACUUUCUGUGGAUGUUUACAGCAGGGAGUUUGGUAAUCUCGCCCGAUAUGCAACUGAGGAAGUGUCUACUGAUGCCAAGAAGCAAGCAAGGUUCCGUAAGGGGCUUAGUCCUGAGCUUCGCCGUGACCUCCGUCUGCAUGAGUGCACAUCCUUUCAGAAACUUGUCAACAAAGCCAUCAGUGCUGAAACUGGUCAGACUGACUAUGACGCAACACGCAAGCACGGCCGUGAUAUGGGUUCCUCAUCCGGUGCUGGUCCUCAGAAGCGCCGCGUGUGGGUACCUAACACCGCCCUGCCACCCAGGUUCACACCGAGGCCAUCCUUCCAGGCGCCUCGCCCUGUUCAACAGUCUGCACCGGCCAAGCCCUAUGGGGGUCCAACCAACAAUGCUCCUCCACGUACCAGUUCCGUGACUUGUUUCAAGUGCGGGGAAUCUGAUCACUAUAUGCGUGAGUGUCCCCAGACCAACCCCAACCAGUCUGCUAAAGCUGUUGGCCGUGGCAAGCCGACAGGAAAAAUAUUCCACGCCAAGCCGGUCACCGCUUCACGUGGCCAUGUCAACUGUAUCUCUGCCGAAGAAGCUCAAGAGGAUCCCAACGUCGUUCUCGGUACGCUUCUUGUUAAUUGCCACCCAGCAUCUGUUCUUUUCGAUACAGGAGCCUCUCAUUCUUUUAUAUCCGAAAAUUAUGCUCGUUUGCAUAACGUUGCAUUCUGUGACAUGCCAUCCACUAUGGAAAUUUCUACCCCUGGUUCUAGAUGGCAGACCUCUAGGGUAAGUUAUGGAAAUGAAAUCCAAGUCGACAGACUUGUUUUCCUCGCGUCUUUGAUAGCCCUUAAAUCUUCAGAUAUUAAUAUCAUUCUGGGUACGGAUUGGAUGUCAGCUCAUCAAGCCAAAAUUGAUUGCUUCUCUAGGACUGUUCAACUCACCCAUCCUUCGGGGAAGAUAGUCAAUGUCUUGACCCGAAUAGCCAAGCGACAAUUAUAUUCUCUUAACGCUAGCCCUUUGCCAGACCUUGAGGACGUGCCGGUAGUCCGUGACUUCCCGGAUGUCUUCCCAGAAGAAUUGCCAGGUGUUCCACCUGACAGGGAUGUUGAGUUCGUAAUAGACCUCAUCCUAGGAACCGUGCCGAUUGCUAGAAGACCCUAUAAGAUGGCACCCCUAGAACUAGCCGAGCUUAAGAAACAACUCGAUGAGUCCUUGAAAAAGGGUUUCAUCCGACCUAGUUCAUCUCCGUGGGCUUGCCCCGUUCUCUUCGUCAAGAAGAAGGAUGGUACGGACCGGAUGGUUGUAGAUUACCGACCUGUCAAUUUGGUCACAAUCAAGAACAAAUAUCCACUUCCCAGGAUCAACGACCUGUAUGAUCAGCUCGUUGGAUCCUCAGUCUUCUCCAAGAUGGAUUUGAGGUUGGGCUACCAUCAAAUCAAAAUCAGAAACGGGGACAUUCCUAAAACGGCCUUUGUUACUCGUUAUGGCCAAUACGAGUACACCGUCAUGUCCUUCGGUUUAACCAACGCUCCAGCCACCUUUUCUCGGUUAAUGAACUCAAUCUUCAUGGAGUAUUUGGAUAAAUUCGUCGUGGUUUACCUCGAUGAUAUACUCAUCUACUUCAAGAACGAGGAAGAACAUGCCGAACAUCUAAGGCUAGUGUUGAAGAAACUUCGAGAGCAUCGCCUUUAUGCCAAAUUUUCUAAAUGUGAAUUCUGGUUAUCAGAAGUGACCUAUCUGGGUCAUGUAAUAUCUGGUAAAGGUAUUGCUGUUAACCCUGAGAGAGUUCAAGCCGUCCUUAAUUGGACUCCACCUGAAUCGGUCAAGCAAGUUCGGAGUUUUCUAGGCUUAGCGAGCUAUUGCCGUCGCUUUGUCGAGAACUUCUCCAAGGUUGCUAAACCUCUAACCGAACUCCUCAAGAAAGAUAAGAAGUUCGAGUGGACUCCACAAUGUGAGCACAGCUUUCAGGAACUGAAAAGACGCCUGACCUCUGCUCCCGUACUGGUACCGCCAGACUUCUCCAAAGACUUUGUUAUCUACUGCGACGCCUCGCGACAAGGACUAGGUUGCAUCCUUAUGCAAGAUCGACAUGUAAUUGCCUACGCUUCACGACAAUUGCACCCACAUGAGGAGAAUUAUCCUACUCAUGAUCUAGAGCUUGCAGCCGUAGUCUAUGCACUUAAGACCUGGCGACAUUACCUCCUCGGUAAUCGUUGCGAAAUAUUCACUGAUCACCAAAGUCUGAAGUACAUUUUCACCCAACCGGAUCUGAAUCUCAGGCAAAGACGUUGGGUUGAAUUGAUCACAGACUUCGACUUAGGAAUAACCUACACCCCAGGGAAAGCCAACGUCAUGGCUGAUGCGCUAAGUCGUAAAUCUUAUUGUAACAAUCUGAUGUUACAACAAAGUCAACCGCUUCUCCAUGAGGAAUUUCGGAAGCUUAACCUUCACAUUGUACCUCAAGGUUUUCUUUCCACCUUGGUAGCAAAACCUACCCUUACGGAUCAGAUUAUCAAAGCACAGAAGGUAGAUCCGGGAAUCUCCCGCAUCAAGAGAAACGUUCAGAAAGGAAUUGCGAAUUGCUUCUCCGUUAAUGAUCAAGGGGUCGUAUAGUUCGGAAAUCGACUAGUGGUUCCCAAAGUACGCAACCUGAGGCGACUGAUCCUUAAGGAAGCUCAUGAAUCUCCUCUCACCAUUCAUCCCGGUAGUACUAAGAUGUAUCAGGACCUACGCCAGAGGUUCUGGUGGACUAGGAUGAAGAGAGAAAUUGCUCAGUAUAUUGCUAAUUGCGACGUCUGUCGUCGUGUAAAAGCAGAGCAUCAACGGCCUGCUGGCACCCUUCAACCCUUAGCUAUUCCUGAAUGGAAAUGGGAUAAAAUUGGUAUGGAUUUCAUUACCGGUUUUCCCAGGACCAAGAGAGGGAAUAAUGCUAUCUUCGUCGUUGUUGAUCGUCUUUCCAAAGUAGCCCAUUUCUUACCUGUUCGAGAGAGUAUAACCGCUAGUCAGCUGGCAGACUUAUACAUCUCCCGAAUAGUGUCCCUCCAUGGUGUUCCUUUGGAAAUUAACUCGGAUCGAGGAAGUCUUUUCACCUCUCGAUUUUGGGAAAGUUUCCAAAAUGCUAUAGGAACCCGUCUCUCCUUCAGCACCGCUUUCCACCCUCAAUCGAGUGGUCAAGUGGAACGCGUCAACCAGAUUCUAGAAGACAUGCUUCGAGCCUCUGUUAUCUCAUUCGGGAUGGACUGGGAGAAGUGCCUUCCAUUUGCCGAAUUCGCUUACAACAACAGCUAUCAAUCUAGCCUGGGUAAAGCCCCUUUUGAAGUUCUCUAUGGACGACGGUGUCGAACACCCCUUAACUGGUCAGAGACCGGGGAAAGACAAUUCUUUGGCCCGGAUAUGAUUCAGGAAGCAGAAGAACAAGUUCGUAUCGUUCGUGAAAAGUUGAAAACAGCCCAAUCUCGUCAAAAGAGUCAAUAUGACCGAAAACAUAAGGCUAUGACUUUCGAGGUUGACGAGAAGGCUUAUCUUCGGGUCACCCCUCUGAAGAGAACCCAUCGUUUCGGUAUCAAAGGAAAAUUGGCUCCUCGUUACAUUGGACCUUUUCGCAUUCUCGCCAAACGAGGAGAAGUUGCCUACCAGUUGGAACUACCUCCGCACCUCUCCAGAGUCCACGAUGUCUUCCACGUUUCUCAACUCAGGCGUUGCUUCUCGGAUCCUAUCCGUGAAGUGGACCACGAAACGCUUGAUCUCCAAGAUAAUCUUACAUAUCGAGAGUACCCCAUUCGUAUCCUCGAUCAGGCCGAACGUACCACCCGACGUCAUAAUAUCAAGUUUCUCAAAGUUCAAUGGUCGCACCAUUCGGAGGAUGAAGCAACCUGGGAAAGGGAGGAUCGUCUUCGACUUGAGUAUCCCGCCUUCUUCCCGGAGGAACCCAAAUCUCGGGACGAGAUUCUUUUGAGUGGGGGUGAGUUGUCACACCCUAGCUAGUCAUGCAUUAGAGUGUUGCAUCAUGUUUACUCUUUCAUCAGAAACUUGAAAUGGGGAUCUGUGAAACCCUCAGAAUCAUUUUGAAAAUGACCCAAAUAAAAAUUUCUCCAAAAAGGGUCCAAGAAAAUGCUCAUGUUGCUCUCUGAAAAUAUUGGACAGAGAUAAAAAUCAAACCAAUAUUUUUAAUAGCUCAUAGGUAUUUAUUUUGGGCAUUUGGAAUUAAUGCAUAAAUAUUUGCAUUGGAAAUAUAUUAAUUAUAUAUAUUAAUAUAUGUCCAAUUAUUAUGCCAAUUAUAAAGGAGCUCUGGAAUAAUAUAUCUAGCUCCUGCAAAAAUUGGCAUAAGUUAAAUAAAUGAUUUAAUAUAUUAUUUAAGUCAAAACAAAUGUUAGAAAUUAGAAAACAGAAAAAUAAAUAGCAGGAGGAGCUUACCUGGGCUCCUCCCUGAGCGGCCCAGCCAGCUGGCCGGCCCAGCAAGCCAGCCCAGCCCACCACCGCCGUCGUCCUCCUGGCGCCAGUCGGCCAGGCGUGUGGCCGGCGCGCGCGCACGGCCGGAGCGCCACGCCACCAGCUCGUCUGCCUGCCUCCCCCGCCAGCGCGACGCCGCGACGCUUCUUCUCGGUGCCGCCCCGAUCCCCUGGCCUUAUCCCCCCUCUCUCCCGUGCUGCUCCCUCUCUCUCUCUCACGACCGAACACCACCGUCGCCGCCGUUCGCCAUAGCAGCCGUCACCGGCCACCCCUCACUCCCCCGACUAGCUCAGGAGCUCCGCCUCGACCCCCUCUUCCUCCCCACCGCUCCACGGGUCUCCGGAAGCCCUGCAUCGCCGCCUACGUCGCCGUUCCCCUCCUCGGCCACCGGAGAUCAUCGCCGUCGAUUCGCCAUCUCCAGCGCGUCCCCGAGCCCUCUUCGACGCCCACUGCAACCGCGGUGAGCUCCGCCACCGUUUCCCCCUCUUUUUCCCCUCGUUCCCGCGCCGUAACCUCGUUCCCACCACGGCCGAACCUCCGCCGUCGCCGAGCUCGCCGUCGACGCAGCUCCGGUGACCAUUUGGUCACCCCGGCGAGUCCAACAAGUUCGUAAGGCCCCGUAGAGCAUCCCUAGCGCCUCGCUUAGCUCGCCUUCGAGCUCCAACCCCGUUUCCGUGCACGACCGAACCCCGGCGGCCGUAGCCGAGCUCGCCGCCGUCGACUCCGGCCACCCCAGGCCCAGCCACGGCCACCGUCCGACGCGCCAUCGAGCUAGCUAUCCAACGCACCUAGCCGCACGCCGUUUGGAGCACCACAGAGGAAACCCGAGGCCCCUGUACGCCGCGGACCUCGCCGGCGACUAACCGCCGGCGGGUUUGACUUGUCUGACCUGGGGUUUGACCCCCCCAGGGUCACUGACGCGUGGGCCCCAUCGGCCAGGUGGUCAGUUAGUGCUAAUUACCGUUAGUCAACCCCCCUUGACACUGAUAGUGGGCCCCAGCGCCACUAAUCCCUAAUUAGGAUUAAUUUAAUCCUGUUAAACCCCCCUGUCACUGACGUGUGGCCCCCACACGUCAGGUUUGACCCCAGACAGCCGCAGUUGACCACUGACAUCAUGCUGACGUCAUGCUGGCGCAAUAAUUAUAUUUCUGGAUUUAAAUUUAAUGAGGAAAUUCCAGAAUAUUAUUUAAACUUCAAAAAUUCAUAACUUUUAUUCUGUAACUCCAAAUUGGACAAAUUAUAUAUGAAAAAUGAUCAGAAAAAUCCAAUCUAUCCAUCUGUACUAUUUUCAUGCAUGAUCAAACAAGUUAAAUUGAUGUUUUAAGCAGAACAAGGAAAAGCACUUUAAAAGGCCAUGCUUGAGUUUGAAAUUUGAAUCUUUGAUUCAAAUUUGUUCAAACCCUUCUGGUUUUAGUUGCAUUAGCCCAACACACUCAUAUUGCCAUGUUUCAUGCAUGCAUCAUAUUGUUGCACAUUGUUUGUUGAUGGUUGUGUAUCGGUGUCCUUUGCGACAGGUUCUGCCUCCGAGGAGUACCGUGAUUACCCUAACGAAGAACAGUAUCAGUGCAUCGAACCAUCAGGCAAGCAACCAACCAUUUGAUCAUAUCGAUACAAUCCCAUGUUCUCGCUCCUGCUCUCUUUUACUGCAUUAAGACAACGCGUUUCAAACUGCUGUGUGCUACGGUAGUUGAACCCAUUUCCUCUGCAUGACCUGUCAUUGCCACAGUAACUAGAUGAAACCCACUAGCAUGUGUAGGAGUUGAUUGAGCCAUAUGUAUGUGUUGUUCCUACCUUGCUAUGCCUGCUAUGCUUAGAGUCGUGUCAGGUCUGGUUCAUCUAGGUGAUGGGCUAGAGUGAAAUGUUUAUGUCGGUAAUGAGAGUGGUGUGGUGAACACGAUUUGGUAAAGGUAUCGAUGAGAGGCCAUGUAGGAGUACAUGGUGGGUUGUUUCGUUGAAGCCGACCUUAAGCACUGAGAUCUGUAUGUGUGAUUUAAGAAUCAGCUACUACCAUGCAUUGGGCCCGAAACCAAUGGACCCUCUCGGCUUCUUAAUCACCCUAGUACUCCGUCCAGGAGUUGCAAGUAGUUUCUGGUGUUUGUAGCCUACUGGAGGCCGUGGACAGCGCUGACCGUAGGGGUGGGCUGUGAUGCGGUAGGUACGUGGUCGGGUGUACCGAAUACCUGUUAGGUAUCUCGGGAACCUUGUUCACAUCGUUCGGGGCCGUAUGGGAAACCUCGGCCGGACUCCCUGCGGAUGGAACCUGAAUAGGCGAUAAACCUGGACUGGAGGCUUAGGUGACUAGGUAGGUCGUGGCCGACACCCACGUUGGGCUUCCGCUUGAAGGUUGCCGAGUACAUGUCGUGUAAACGACGGUAAGUGGUGAGAGCGUGUAUGAAGAAGUACACCCCUGCAGGGUUAACAUGAUCUAUUCGAAUAGCCGCGUCCGCGGUAAAGGACUACUUGGUUGCCUAUACAGUUCAUAGACAAGUAAAUGGAAACUGCUAAAAGCCUCAAGAUAAGUGUGAGUGCCGAGGAUGGAUCUUCCGUAGGAAGACGGAGGUGGAUCCUCGGUAGUGUAUUGAAGUGGUGAGUAGUGGACUCGUGUGCGCAAAACCAUUUCAAGUUGAAGUAUCGUAGGAUAGUCUAGCCAAGAGUUAAAGCUGGCUUGCUGCAAUAACUCCACCAACCCUUCUUGAUAAUAUGCAUGUAUGUAGGAUCUGAUGUAAGUCUUGCUGAGUACCUUUGUACUCAUGUUGCUAUAAUCUACAUUUUUACAGAAGACGCUGCAACCCCUUCUGAUGGGUUCUAUGUAGACGUUGACAUCAACGAGUAGGCUAAAGACCCAGGUGGUGACCCUGAGCUUGUGAAGGACCAUGUAGUAUAGCUAGGCUUUCCAAGCCUCUUUUAUUUUACUAGUUGUCUGUACUCAGACAAGUUACUUCCGCUGUUUGUUUGUAUGACUGUAUGACUUGAAUGUUGGGUCGUGAGACCCGUACCUUUGUGUAUGUUAUGUAUGGCUCCCUGAGCCUUAAAUAAAGUACUUGUGUCAUAGAGUCAUGUUGUGAUGCUUCGUUGUAUUUGCACAUAUCGAGCAUAUUGUGUGUAUGAUUGAAAUGCUUGGUAUGUGUGGGAUCUGACUACCUAGUUGUUUAUCUUUAGUAGCCUCUCUUACCGGGAAAUGUCUCCUAGUGUUACCGCUGAGCCAUGGUAGCUUGCUACUGCUCUGGAACACUUAGGCUGGCCGGCAUGUGUCCUUCUUCGUUCCUGUGUCUGUCCCUUCGGGGAAAUGUCACGCUUUGAGUACCAGAGUCCUGUUAGCCCGCUACAGCCCGGUUUACCGGAGUCCUGCUAGCCCAGUGCUACAGCCCGGACCCAUUUGCUGAUGACCGACACGUUCGAAGCUGGGUCAUGGAUGCCUGUCCCUGUAAGUCUGUGCCACUUUGGGUUUACGACUAGUCAUGUCAUCCCGGGCUCUUUAUCAUAUGGAUGCUAGCGACACUAUCAUAUACGUGAGCCAAAAUACGCAAACGGUCCCGGGCAAAGGUAAGGCGAGACCCGUGGGGAUACCGUGCGUGAGGCCGCAAAGUGAUAUGAGGUGUUACCGGCUAGAUCGAUGUGACAUCGAGUCGGGGUCCUGACAGUUAGCUUAGCAAUUGAUCGUUUAGUAUGUUGGUAUUGCUUUCUUCAUGACUUAUACAUGUUCCUGUAACUAUGAGAUUAUGCAACUCCCGUUUACCGGAGGAACACUUUGGGUGCUACCAAACGUCACAACGUAACUGGGUGAUUAUAAAGGAGUACUACAGGUGUCUCCAAAGGUACGUGUUGGGUUGGCGUAUUUCGAGAUUAGGAUUUGUCACUCCGAUUGUCGGAGAGGUAUCUCUGGGCCCUCUCGGUAAUGCACAUCACUAUAAACCUUGCAAGCAAUGUGACUAAUGAGUUAGUUGCGGGAUGAUGCAUUACAUAAUGAGUAAAGAGACUUGCCGGUAACGAGAUUGAACUAGGUAUUGAGAUACCGACGAUCGAAUCUCGGGCAAGUAACAUACCGAUGACAAAGGGAACAACGUAUGUUGUUAUGCGGUUUGACCGAUAAAGAUCUUCGUAGAAUAUGUAGGAGCCAAUAUGAGCAUCCAGGUUCCGCUAUUGGUUAUUGACCGAGAAUAGUUCUAGGUCAUGUCUACAUAGUUCUCGAACCCGUAGGGUCCGCACGCUUAACGUUACGAUGACAGUUUUGUUAUGAGUUUAUAAGUUUUGAUGUACCGAAGGAGUUCGGAGUCCCGGAUGAGAUCGGGGACAUGACGAGGAGUAUCGAAAUGGUCGAGACGUAAAGAUCGAUAUAUUGGACGACUAUAUUCGGACUUCGGAAAGGUUCCGGGUGAUUCGGGUAUUUAUCGGAGUACCGGAGAGUUACGGGAAUUCGCCGGGGAGAAGUAUUGGGCCUUAUUGGGCCAUACGGGAAAGAGAGAGGGGCUGCCUAGGGCAGCAAGGCCUAGUCCGAAUUGGACUAGGGGGAGGGGCCGCACCCCCUCCUUCCUUCCCUUCUCUCUUCCCUUUCCUUCUCUCCUACUCCUACUACAUGGAAGGGCUCCUAGUUCUACCAGGAAAGGGGGAAUCCUACUCCCGGUGGGAGUAGGACUCCCCUAGGGCGCGCCAUAGAGAGGGCCGGCCCUCCCCCUCCUCCACUCCUUUAUAUACGGGGGUAGGGGCACCCCAUAGACACACAAGUUGAUAUACGGAUCGUUCCUUAGCCGUGUGCGGUGCCCCCCUCCAUCAUAUUCCACCUCGGUCAUAUCGUCGCGGAGUUUAGGCGAAGCCCUGCGCCGGUAGAACAUCAUCAUCGUCACCAUGCCGUCGUGCUAACGGAACUCAUCCCCAAAGCUUUGCUGGAUCGGAGCCCGGGGAUCGUCAUCGAGCUGAACGUGUGCUGAACUCGGAGGUGCCGUAUGUUCGGUGCUUGGAUCGGUCGGAUCGUGAAGAUGUACGACUACAUCAACCGCGUUGUCAUAACGCUUCCUCUUACGGUCUACGAGGGUACGUGGAAAAUACUCUCCCCUCUCGUUGCUAUGCCAUCACCAUGAUCUUGCGUGUGCGUAGGAAUUUUUUUUAAAUUACUACGUUCCCCAACAUCUCAAACCCAUCUCCAUCGAUGCAUUAUCUAUCACAUUACGAGAUAGACCCUUUGUGGAGGGAUCUGCCAAGUUUUUCGACGUUUGGAUAUAAUCCAACGUAAUAACUCCGGAGUUUCUCAGUUUCCUGACAGAUUUUAAUCUCCUCUUCACAUGCUUUGAGGACUUCAUAUUGUCCUUAGAACUGUUUAUCUUGACGAUCACAGUUUGAUUAUCACAGUCCAUCAGGAUAGGGGGUAUUGGUUUUUCAACCAUAGGUAAGUCCAUCAAUAGCUCAUGCAGCCACUCUGCUUCAACAGUGGCAGUGUCUAAUGAUGUGAGUUCUGCUUCCAUAGUUGACCUCGUUAAGAUGGUCUGCUUGCAAGACUUCCAGGAAACAACACCACCACCAAGUGUAAAAACAUAACCACUUGUGGCCUUAAUCUCAUCAGCAUCAGAUAUCCAGUUUGAGUCACUAUAACCCUCCAGUACCCUUGGAUACCCGGUGUAGUGAAUCCCAUAGCUCGCAGUGCCCUUCAAGUAGCGCAUAACUCUCUCAAGCGGACGCCAAUGAUCAUCUCCCGGUUUUGACACAAACUGACUCAGCUUGCUCACAGCAAAAGAGAUGUCAGGCCUCAUGGCACUCGCCAAAUCCAUAAGCGAGCCAAUAAUCUGAGAAUACCUCACUUGAUCUCUAGCAAUCCGUCGAUUCUUUCGAAGCAACACAGUAACAUCAUAUGGAGUUGGAAAAGGCGUGCAGUCGCUAUACCCAAAACGACUCAAGACCUUUUCCACAUAGUGAGACUGAAGCAGUGUGAUCCCACCAUUCUCAUCUCUCAACAGCUUGAUGUUUAAGAUAACAUCAACUACUCCUAGAUCCUUCAUCUCAAAACAACGAGAUAAGAAAUCCUUAACCUCCUUGAUUAAAUCAAGUUUGGUUUCAAAGAUCAAUAUGUCAUCGACAUACAGACAAAGAAUAACUCCUUCGCCCCACUAUGGCGAUAGUACACAGACUUGUCACCAUCAUUUACUACAAAGCCGGUAGCAGUUAAUGUUCUUUUGAGCUUCUCAUGCCACUCAUUAGGAGCUUGUUUAAGGCCAUAUAAAGACUUUAACAACUUGCACACCUUUCCUUCCUGACCAGGUACUAAAAAACCAUCUGGCUGAUUCAUGUAAAUUUCCUCCUUCAACUCUCCAUUGAGGAAAGCCGUCUUAACGUCCAUUUGAUGAACGAGAAGACCAUGUGAGGCAGCUAGUGAUAGUAGCACCCGAAUGGUGGUCAGUCUAGCCACGGGUGAGUAAGUAUCAAAGAAGUCUUCACCUUCUUUCUGGCUAUAACCCUUAGCCACAAGCCGUGCCUUGUACUUUUCAAUCGUACCAUCAGGUCUAAGCUUCUUCUUGAACACCCACUUACAUCCUACAGGUUUGCACCCAUAAGGACGGUCAAUGACCUCCCAGGUCCCGUUAGCUAAGAUGGAAUCCAUCUCGCUACGAACAGCUUCCUUCCAGUAGUCAGCAUCAGGAGAUGCAUAGGCUUCUGAAAUAGUCCUGGGCGUGUCAUCCACAAGGUACACAAUGAAAUCAUCACCAAAGGACUUUGCAGUCCUCUGUCUCUUACUCCUUACAGGAGUUUCAUUGUCACCCUCAACAGGAUUCUCAAUGUGUUCCAUCGCAAUGGUGGGUUCAGGAAUUACAGUGAGUUCCUCACUAGAUGGAAUAGGUAUCUCCUGAUUUGAUGAACUUGACAUAUCCUUCAUAGGAAAUAUGUCCUCAAAGAAAGUUGCAUCAUUAGACUCCAUAAUCGUACCAACAUGCAUGUCGGAUACCUCAGAUUUUAUUAUAAAAAAUCUAUAGCCAAUGCUAUGAAAAGCAUAGCGCAGAAGAACACAAUCCACGGUUUUUGGUCCAAGCUUGCGCUUCUUGGGAAUUGGUAUAUUGACUUUUGCCAAACAACCCCAAGAACGUAGGUAAGAGAGUUUCAACAUUUUCCUUUCCCAUUCCUCAAAUGGAGUCAUGGUCUUAUGCUUUGUGGGAACUCGAUUUAGGACAUGACACGCAGUCAUUAGCGCCUCCCCCCACCAUUCCUUAGAAAGACCCGAUGUGUUUAACAUGGCGUUAACCAAAUCAGUUAGAGUUUGGUCCUUUCUUUCGGCCACCCCAUUAGACUGAGGUGAGUAGGGAGGCGUCCUCUCAUGGAUUAUACCAUGUUCUGCACAAAACAUAUCAAUUCACUGGAAAAAUACUCUCCACCACGAUCGGACCUAAGCCGUUUAAUUUUUCGAUCAAGUUGGUUCUAUGCCUCAGCUUUGUAGUUUUUGAAGAAAGUUAAAGCCUCAUCUUUUGAUUUCAGAAGAUACACAUAACAAUAUCUAGUGGAGUCAUCAAUCAACGUCAUGAAGUAUCUCUUUCCACCUUUUGUCAACACGCCAUUCAUCUCACAGAGAUCAGAAUGUAUAAGCUCUAGUGGCGCCAAGUCUCUUGCCUCUGCAGUCUUAUGGGACUUGCGAGGUUGUUUAGCUUGCACACAUACUUGGCACUUAGAGCCUUUGACAGUAGAGAUUUUCAGAAUUAAAUUCAUAUUGGCUAGCCGCGUCAUGCAACCAAAGUUAAUAUGGCAAAGUCGUGCAUGCCAAAUAUCUGACUGAUUAUUGUGGCAAACAUUAUUAAUAACUUUAGUGCAAAUAUCUGACAAAGAUAGGCGGAACAAGCCUCCGCACUCAUAGCCUUUUCCAACAAAUUGUCCACACUUGGAAAUUACAACUUUAUUGGACUCAAAAACCAACUUAAAACCAUCUCGACAUAAACGGGAACCGCUAACGAGAUUUUUAUUGAUGGACGGCACAUGAUGAACGUUCUUCAGACGCACGGUCUUCCCCGAAGUAAACUUCAGAUCGACCGUACCAACACCUCGAACGAUGGCAUGUGACCCGUUCCCCAUCAGCACGGGAGAAGUCCCUGUGGCCUGGUAAGAAGAAAACAUGGAGGCGUCAGCACAAACAUGUACAUUGGCACCGGUGUCAAUUAACCAAUCAGGGGAUUGAAAUACUGAAAGGAUGGUAGGAAAAAUACCGUACCCUGAUUCCUUCAUAUCAGUAUCACCGAUGACAACAUUAGCGGACUUGCCGCCCUUCUCAUGUUCGCGCUCCUCAAAGCGGUUAGGACACUUCGGAGCCCAGUGAUUAGGAUCACCGCAGACAUGGCAAAGUCCCUUCCCCUUCUUAUGAGAAUUCUUCUUGAAGUUGGUAGAAUGUGAUGGCUUGUUCUUUGUAUCAAACUUGCCUUUCCCCUGAGUUUUGUUCUUGUUGUUUUUGAACUUAUUGGGCUGGAAGUUCUUCUUCUGUACCAUGUGGGCACUAGAAGCUCCCUCGGCAACUCGAGCACGUGUGUCCUUUGCUCUCGCCUUCUCUUCAACAUCAAGAGUACCAAUGAGAUCCGCAACGGAAAACUCCUGUCUCUUGUGUUUCAGAGAAGUAGCAAAAUUGUUCCACGAAGGUGGAAGCUUGGCAAUAAUGCCUCCGUCAACAAAUUUGUCCGGCAACACACACUUGAAGUGCUCAAGUUCUUUUGCGAGCGACUGUAUCUCAUGAGCCUGCUGUACAACAGAGCGUUCAUCAGUCAUCUUGUAGUCAUAGAAUUGCUCCAUGACGUACAACUCGCUACCGGCGUCCGAGGCACCAAACUUGGCCUCGAGCGCAGCCCACAUGUCCUUGCCGUUGUCAAACGACAUAUACGAAUCCACAAUGGAAUCAUCAAGAACACCCAGAAGAGCGCCUUUAAAGAGAGUAUCGAUCUUCUCAAAAGCUUCCAGCUGUGCUGGAUUAAGAUCGCCCUCAGGCUUGCCCUUAGUGGCGUCAUAGCAGCCCUUGGUCUGAAACCAGUAGACUGCUCUCGUGCGCCACCUCUUAUAUUGCGCCCCCUUAAAGGCAGGCGGCUUCAGAUGCGCAGCAAAACCACUCGGAGUAAAUUGCCUAUAAUCAGGUUUUUGGAUUGUUGAAAAUAUGAGCAAAUUACUACGAGAAUUAAUCCGAAUUAACAGAAGAUAAAUCAUGACUACAGUAGCAGAGAUUGAACUAAUCAUGUGAACUAGCAUAGUAGAUGAACAAAUCACAUCUAGGGCACAUACUAAAAACAUGAAUUCUACCACGAUCUCGAACAGGAAAGAUAGAAUCACAUACGAUGCAGCGGGAGCAGCACCGCCGGCGUUGACGUUGUCGCCCAUGUCGUCGAGGAUGAGGUUGCCGAGGUCGGGGAAGAAGUCGUCGUUCGCGAAGUCGUCGUUGCCAGCAGUCGCGCGAGUGCGCUCCCCAAAAACCUGAUCGCCCCUCUCCCGUACAGGAUCACGAGAGGCGGGGUUCCGGAGGCCUGCUGUCCCUUCUCCCGGUGCACGCCGAAAGGAGGGAUGGAGAAGACUUGAUUGGCGGCGCAAUGGUCUGGAACGGCGAUGAGAAACCAUACGAGAAACGGCGGCGGCUAGGGUAGACGUCUGCCGUAGGUCGUGGGAGUAAACCCUACGUCCGAGUCGUCACGAUCCAAAAGAACCGGAAACAGUUCAGUAAUUAACGCGUCCAUUAAUUAUUAAUUAAUGACUCAUUAAUUUUUCCCGAGCAGCAAAAAUAUAGACAACGUGCAUAGCUAUGUCCUCGGCUCGGCUCAAUCCCGCAACCCGCGGCGCGGCGCGGCGGGGCGGGGCGAGCGAGUAGGUCUCCUCUUCUCAUGCUCAUACAAGUGGUAGGAGAGCUCACCUUAUAAAGAGGUGCAACUCUCUCUCAAUUUAUGAGGUGGGACUAAACUUUAGCCUUACUCACUCCACUCACAUGUGCGCAUGAAUGGGCCAAGAGAAUUUCAGAAUUUUAGUUGGGCUUUGAGCCAAAAGCCCACUAGCAAAUUCCAACAACUAGUAGGAGUACCUCAAACCAAAGCUUGCAAUGUUAUCAUUACAGGAAAUGAACUUGAUUCUUACGUGACAACCUCCCGAUUCCAAGGGACCACGUGAAAGCUACGACGAACAACUACUCCCCCCGUUUCAAAAUAGAUGACCCAAUUUUAUACUAAAGUUAGUACAAAGUUGGGUCAUGUAUUUUGGAACGGAGGGAAUAUGCAUUUUACAUGAUUUUGACGUCUUCAACAAAAUGCUGGCAAUCAACAGUCCAGUUAUCUUCUCGAAAUCAUGAUCCUUUACAUCCUUCAAUCAGAGAGUUGAAAUCAUGAUCCUUUACAUCCUUCAAUCAGAGAGUUGAAAUCAUGAUCCUUUACAUCCUUCAAUCGGAGAGUUGAUCUCCAGUCGAGUCUGUGAAGAUGCAUCAUAUGGGCUAUUUUUUUCGCCCGCCAACAAUCCACCAUUUCGGCGUUAGGGCAAAUCAUACUGAGAGCAGAUCAAACUGACACAGAAGCUUGGCAUUAAAAAUGAAGUUUUGACAUUCCACUUCCAAAGUAACAUAAAAAAUGAAAAUGGGUGCUAAACAAGGCUAGCAAUCUAGUAUCACAAUACUAAGAUGUAAAGUAAGCUUUUCUUCACAGAAGAACCAUUUAGAUAUAGGGGUUUAUCAUGCUGGUUAUCUAGAAACAGAUGAUACUGUCUUUCCCACACAAAAAUUAGACCCCAAAAACUUCGUUUCACAAGAAAACAUGUUUCCCCAGAAAACUGCCGCAAGUUUGAACGUACUAAAUUUCAGAUAUGCAAGAACUCCAAUAUCGAUCAAUGGAUAUCCCAGAACUCUCCAGUUGUAAAAUGAAUUGAUAUGUGCAUGUCAAAUUGAAGGCAUGCUAUAUCACAUCAAACAUUCUCUUUCUCUAACAGCCACUUUGCUCAUUUUAAGAAACACUGUGAACGAUGAUUCAAUCCAAUAGCAAAGCUGUACGACAACAUUUGUCCCAUUAUCCUAUUAUUAAGUGGCCUUCAAUUUUCUCUGCUCAAAGAGAAUCAUAGGUUCAUGUGUAAUAAUCAACAAAAUAAAAGCUCAGAUAACUUUUUUUUUAGGGUAGCUCAGAUAACUAAUAGUGAAGUCUUAUGCCACCCAAAUGCCCAAUGCACCUUAUAUAUGACCAAAAACAAAAUGUCCACUUGUGGAAACAAUAUAACAGCUGGAGCGAAAUCAAAUAACCAUGAUCCCAUGAAUCUAUGCAGUGGAUAUUGUGAGACAUUUAUCUGAUAGUCACACACCAUGUUUCUACAAGCCAGAGCUAUAACUUCAGUUGUUCUAUGAUAAUGAAGAACGCCAUUUGGUUCUUUAAGGAGGACCCAUCAUCAACUGAUGACUAAAAUAAGAUGCAUGACUUAUCUAGGUUUCAAAGGUUCCGAGUGACUAGAACCAUAUAAGCUUAUUCUCAACAAGAUUACCGUCAGAGCCAAUCGUCUAGACCUCAAUAGUGGUAAUCUUCGGCACACAUUACUGACCAAAGAAAGUACUGCAUUUCAUACACCAAAUCGCUCGGAGCUCGUGGGGAUGCCAUGUGAUAUAAAUGAAGAAAACGUCAUGCCGUGGAGAAGAAAUAUAGGUGACUUCACUAUGCGCACUUAACACCGUGUGGCAGCUUGUUUGCAGAGAACAGAAAAAUCAGGGCUCAUACAAAACAACCACAAAAGCAAUAGUGAGCAGAUGAAUCUUAGAGAAAACUGGAGACGGCAGCAUGUCAAAAGCAUCUUUAAAGUAUCGAAUAAGUAGUCAUAACAAGGAAAUUGAAAUGAGCCUCUACAGAAUGUACAUACCGCAACACAGUAAGAAAAGAUGAUUACACUACAAUAAGAACAUUUUUAUGAUUCCUACCCUCUAAGGCCAGUGGUCAUCUUGAUCAGGCUUCUUGACAAAGAUCUGGUUGUAGUCUGGUCGAGACAUCUGUAACAAAAGACACAUUCAAUAAUUAGUGCAAGACGAUAAUAUAGCAAAUUCCAGAAUACCAGAUAUAGCAAAUCAUAUCAAAGCAGACUACACUUGUUCCACUACAGGCAUGAUUUACCACUGAUACAUCUCUAGGUAACAGCUCUACCUCCAAGUAGCAUGAUCUGACUAAAAGAUUCACAGUUACAUUAUAGAGUAUAGACUGUGUCUCCAGACGAGCAAGCCUAAUGGUUUCAAUUUGAAUAGCAUAGUUGGAGGCCUCGAGCAGUAACCAUGGACCCCAAUGCCUACAUUCGAUUCAACACCGCCCAAAUUCCAAGCCAGAGCACUUGCAUUAAAUUAGCUACCAUCUCUCCUACGGUUUCAAUUGAUUCUUUGGCGAACGAUGCCAAUUUGGGGCAUAGACCACCCUACUACUAGAUCUCUUGCUAGCAGGUGCCGCACCAGAAUUUUGACCCGUUAGUCAGGUGCGAAAUGUUCAACGGGGAGAGAAGGCGAGAUGGGUGCGGGCUUACGAGAUCCUUGAAGAGGAUGAAUGCGAUGAGGAAGAAGAGGACGAAGAGGAUCUCGAACUCGGCGAGGCGGACGAAGCGGAAGACCUUGUCCACCACCCUGGUCAGCAGCCCGGGAUCCCGCCGGCCCCCGCCCCUGCCGACGCCCCGCUGCUGCCGCAUCCCCUCCGGUCGCGCGCUGCCCCCUCGACUGCCUCCCUGAAGCCAUGAACCCUAACGUGGGUACAAGAGAGAGAUGUGCAUAGACAAGUAUGGCUGGGUGAACGGGGAAGAACAGCUACCGGAUCACCGGCGGCAGCGUGGACGAGACGGGGUCGAUCGGCGCGGCGGAGCAGGUCGUCGGACGCGGGGAGGAGGGGACGGGCCGUAGAGGGUGGGCUCGCGUGUCGGGGUCCUCGCGGACUAUGCAAUUGCCGGCGGCUCGAGCGGUGGUCCGCACGAUCUUGGAUCGGACGGCGGGAAAAGUCGAAGCAGCAAGGGGAAGGAACCAACCCCCCGUUGCACUUUGCAGCUCAGCGAGUCCAAAUUGUCCCCCCUUCAAACCAAGUCCAAAUUGUGCGGCCGGUGGUCCAUUGCCACGAGUUUAUUUACAGUCUUAUUUCUCAUUUGAUUUGACUGUCCAAAUUUGUCCACGCGGUUCUAAAAAAACGAUCAUCAUGUUGUGACAAUGUGUUCGUCUAGUACAGGAAAAUGUCAUAUGCUCUUCUAGUGUAGUGCAAAAGGAUGCAUUACAAAUUUCUCAACGCAGAUAUAAAAAAUAAUCACCAUAUAUAUAAAUUUGUUAAACAAAGGAAAAAAAAGCAUUUCUUUUAGACCACACACACAAAAAAAAGAACCAUACAAAGAUCUCGACUCAACGUUGAGUAUGCAGACAUACAUCACCAAAUAGAACAGGAUGCAUAUGAAAAAGGCUCUAGCUUGCAAAACAUGAAGGUAUUGGUUUUAGAAAACAUGGAGCCAUUCGCUUAUUCGGCUGACAGAAUAACAAUGUGGGUGAUAAUACAGGUCUGAUUGCCUGUCAGCCUGUGGCAAAGCAUUCCUGGACAGCGUACCUGACUGAAACCAAUAAGGCUAUAUUUCUGGUGAUAAUUCGUUUUAGGUUUUACCCAACAGAGUAAGCAUAAAAAAGAUGGGAAUAUGCUAGCUAAUGUUAAGCUCAAAGAAUCGUCAGCACGUAGUUUACAGCUAGUAUACAUUUACAUGACACGACUACAGCAAAAUGGAGAUGUUGAGUGGAACUGACUAAACCGAAAGAUGUGAUAUCUUUGUAUGAUCUGGAGAGAAGAGACGAGGACCCUAUCAGGUAAUCCACUUGGAGGUGACUUGAGCACUUUGACGAGGUUUCAUGGGAAUCUGAGACAGGUUCCUCUUUUUCAUGUUGGAGGAGACAGUGGGGCUAAAAUAAACCUGGCUUUUCUGUGAAAUUGAUGCCGCUUGCAAGUGUGGUUUUCUCAAAGGAAUGAAUGUGUGCGACCUUGAGGGCGGCCCUUUCGAAGAUUCAACACUUUUAGGUGAAUCCCAUUUGCUAUGGUUCGCAAAACUCUGUGACCGGCCAACUAUCUGGGGCCUCUUGUCCUUUGGACUGGGAAUGUUUCUGCUUUCCAUAGUUUCCGCGGAGUACAUUGUCUCCUCCCCGCUGCUGAAGCCGUCCCUCUUAUCUCCUUGUUCUGAUAUUGCCGGUGGUGAAGAACUUGACUGUGCCUCAUUCCAGCAGUUUUCCUGGUAAGCAACAUUGUGCAUAGCAUCGCAGUUGAUUCGCGCAUUAGCUACCCGUGAUUCAUCUGAAACUGAGCAGUUCGGUUUGAUCUUAUUAUCGACAGGCAUCAUUUGCUUUAGAGGAAGCGGUAAGAAAAUAGAUCUUGGAUGCCCAGGAGGAAAGCUAUCCAUGACCGAACCAGGUUGCUCCUUAGGUCUGGGCAUCUGUGAGGCUGGAUCUCGUUGGCCUUGAAAGGAGUGUGAAUUAACAGAAUCAUUUUCACCAUAUGAAAUCUUGGCAGAUGCUGAACUGCAUGACCCAUGCUGCCGUGUCGGUCUUGCUGGCAUCUGCGAUGAUGACAAUGCCCCACCCUCUCGCUCAGUGGUCUUAAUAUAAUGAAGAUGACUCAGAGAAGAAGGUUCACUUCGUUGUCCAGCAGAAGAUAUUAAUCGUGCAGGGGGCAUCAUUGGCUUGCUAACAUCUUCCAAGCUACCACUCCAGUGCUGUUUUAACCAUUCACAUACUGCAGGGAUGGGGAUCCCAAAUUGUGUUGGCACAUCCAUCUUUGAUGCAAGGAGUGCAGUUGAUGAUGCAGAAGCAUACCCUGUAGGUGUAGAAGGUGCAAGCUUCAUCGGAUCACAGACCAUAAAAGCUAGAUUCCCGUUCAUAUCAAAACCAGCAGAUCCAGGAUGCCAUGAGACUUCAUCAGUUGAGAACUUUAUAAGGUUGUCAGUUGCUAUAACAACCUUCCCCUCACCUACUGCCAAAUCUCUUUUGUUUGUGUGGCCCAGGAGCAAAACUGUACUGCCAAGGUCCAAGCUGGGGUUCAAGCAGGUUUUCAGGAAAUGAGGCUGUUGCCCAUGCGAAUCUGGGCUAUCAUCCACGACAUCAAGCCCGACUAUUGUAAGGUCCAGAAUGGGGCUAGUGAUGAAGAACCUGAAAUGAAGAAACAAAAUGUAGAACUGGUAAAAAUGCCAGCAAAGGCAUGCAAGAUAAAGGAUCAUUAGAGUAAAUGCUCCUCCAAAGUAAAUAGAGUGUUUUUUUUCACACGAACCACUUCACUGAUAUCACCUUUCGUUUGUUCAAAGAAUUCGUACAACUAAGUUACAAACGUUGUUGGACUGUUUUAGAUAAUAAAGUUUUCUAGAGGAAAUCCAGAUUGAGCCCAUCCUGAGAAAAUAAUGCAUUAAAAACAACACAUCCUGCGCCCAUCAGUCGAGAGAAUAAAUGGAACCAAGGACCACUUUGAGCAGAUAUUACCUCCCAUUGAUUCUUAUCAGUCGAGCAUCCAAAAUUCAAUAGAAUUUAUGUCUACCCUGUACAGAGCGGUGAGGUGAUCCUAUGCGGCUACAGCAGCUUAUUUUAUGUACUACAAAAUCAACUUCAAUCCUUCAUACAUCAACACAUGACAAGAAGCCAUUUUAUGACUUACAUAAGGUGCGAACAUUCUUAUUUGGUACUCCCUCUCUAUCAAAAUAUAAGAAGACGUUUGUUGACACCAUGAUAGUGUCAAAAAGCGUCUUAUAUUUUGAUACGGAGGGAGUAAUUGGCUACUCCAUAAUGUAUUAUAUCUUUAUUUUUCACUAAAAUAAUAGCAGUAUAUUAUAAUCUAUCUACCCCUGGUUGCAUUUGAUCCUCCAAAGUAAAAUCGAAAUUGUGUCCCCCCUUGCACGUACGGUUGCUACAAUAACUGAAUGCAUUAAUAACAUCAAGAUUGCCGAGGUCCAUAAUCACAAGACAAGCUCAAAUAAUUCCCUGAACCAUAUUGAAGUCAACCCGACCAAACUCUUGAGAUUGCGCCUUUUCGCACAAAUGCAAGAACUGAGGAACCAAUAUGGCAUGGACCCACAAAUCCACCAAAACCUUGAGCCAUUUUUAACAGCAUUGCAACUGAGAAUCGCUACGGAAACCUACAAGCUUCUCCUAAAUUUGAAGACGAAAACCAGAUCUUCUUCCAGCAUGGUACAACAUGAACAGCCAGAGCACGAGUACAGCGCAGAGAAAUUGCCAAAGGUGUUGCAUAAUCAAAUCUUUGCGCGGAGCACUAUGCAACAUCAAUCGACUUCCGGGCGGAACCGACACAAAAAAAUGCAACCAUUUGGCACCGCAUUGCACAGCCAAACAACCCCAAGCAAAAACCAAGCAGGAAAUGCGAGCAAUGUCUUCGGGGUUCGUUACCUCUGAGGCACCAGGCGGGCCAGGAGGCGGCCGUGGCUGAGCUGGACCUCGGCGGCGGCCGCCACGGCGGCUGAUGGGACGGUCCCGUGCGUGGUGAGCAGGAGGGCGCGGUGGAUGAGGAAGCCUCCCCCGCGUUUCCCUCCUCCUCCUCCUCCUCCUCCUCCUCCUGCCCCUUCUCCGCCGCGAGGGAAGGACACCGCCGCGAGCGCGGGACCCUUCGUGGCGAACAGCGUGGACUUGAUCCGCUCCAGCUUGGCCCCGCCGCCGGAGCAGAAGCACCACCCCGAGCGGUCCCCCAGGACCCCCAUCCUAUGCGGCCGCUCUCCCUCCCCUUCUCUCCCUCUGACGAGUGGCUACCGGCGCACGGAGGAGGGCGGCGGUGCCCUCGGGUCAGCGGUGGCUGGCUGGCUCCUCUGGUGCUUUGGCUUCGUGGCGAGAGGAAACAAUAAUAAGGAAACGGUAAUGCUUCUCAGCGAACGUUCGCUGGGGUUACAUUUGUGAAUGUUUUUGGGGAUAUUUUAUGUUGCGGGUAGAUAGCAAUUCCUUCUCAAAAUUUGUCAUGUAUGUAUUUCUGAAAAAAAUGUCAUGUGUUUUCAAAAAAAAAUUGUCAUAGAAAUGUGCAAAUAUCAUCCUCCAAAGGGAACGUUUGCCGGCUAUUGCGGUCCUAAGAAAAAAGUUUGUUCUCAACGCGUUGGACGAAAAGCUGGGCAUCACAGUGGGCCGUGUCUCUGUCCAUUCUUACGGGCCGGAGGAUUUUUUGUUGUUGUGUUUGCACGCUAGGAUGACAUGAACAGGCUGGGGCAGAGUUUAGUGCUGGAGCACCAUGUAAUUUUAUUGUAUUAGAAACAUAGAAAGGUGUAGACAUGGUUCCUCUCUCAUAGUAAAUGGAAGUAGGGGCAGCAAGCGCAUGCAUAUUAUAUCCACUAGAUCAUUGAUGGCGCGCGUUGCUGCGCCCAUCUGUUUUGGCUCUUAGCUAUUAGGCAUAUAAAAUAAUUUAUAUGCAAUUUCCUCAAGUUCUUUUUCUUUCUUGUAACUUAUGCUUGUCUUAAUUUAAAAAGAAAAUUGCUAUCUAAUUAGAGAGGAAUUUGAGUGGUAUGCAAGUUGCUACGCCCAUCUAUUGUCAAUAGGACUAAUAUUUUUAUUAAAAUCAUUUAAAUUUAGUUGCCUUUUUCUGACGAAUAAUAAUAUUAUCCGCUGGUACUUUUUGAAAAUUAAACAUAGUUCCCAUAUGGUAUGUGUAUAUUUCAAUAAAUCUACAAAUAAUUGGCAGACUGAUGUAAUAGCACAAAAGGUAAUCGUGCUUGUUUUAAAUUUCACGAUGUUAGCAGGAUAUCUCUAUACUGAGAUAGUUUAUAUAAAAUUGGUCUAGAAUAUACCACCACUGUAAGUAAUUUCCUAAAUUGAGUGAAAGAAAAUUAACUCUCCGUCCCAUUGCCAAGAACCAUACUCGACAUAGAUAUUGUCUUCGCCGAGCGGUGAAGACAGAUUUUCCAGUAGUAGUGCCCAUAUGUAAGUAGCAACGUAAUCUUCACAGCUCACAAAGACCUAUAUUGUAUUGCAAGUACUUAGCUUCACAUCCAGCGAGGAUCUUACAGUCAACAAACAUAACUUGAUGCUUCGAUGCGAGAAUAAGUAUAUUGUUCUAUAUCUAUGGACACUGGGUAUGCACGAGGGUACACCAAGAUGUCCCUAACUAAACCGCUUCUAACCAUUUUUUGUGCCCAAUUGGUUUAGGGUUUUUCCUUUUUGUUGGGUAUUUAUUUAGACGCAAGUUUCCACCCAUACUGGACUAAUUACUUCAGCUGCUAUUUUCUAACCUUGCUGCAAUGCAAGGAGAAUCUUGCCAAAGUGGGAGCUCUAUUUCCUGUGAAAAAAUCCACCCUAAUUUAACUGUUUUGGUUUAGAUUACUUAUACUGGCAGUUGCAUAGUUGAUGCUGAGGAAAAGAAGAAGACGCCCCUGCAUCAUAGCACAUGUUUUGUGUGUGUUCAGUUUUGUGCUUGCAUUAGGAACGUGCAUAUUAGGAAUGUGCAGAGUUAUACUUAUCCGCAAAUUAAUUGUUAAUCUGGACGGAUUUUGGAAACCAUAAAUAUAUGUGUCAAACUCUGAAUCCUUUCAUGAUAGUCUUCAUGUUCUGAAAGUCCCUACUAGAGAAUAACAAUUGUUGGGAACAAAAACAUAUAUGGUUAUAUGUAUGAAAAUAUGCUAUAGAAAAUGAACAUGAGAGAAUGAAACCUGAUUGUUCAACAACGUAUAGUUUUCAUGUUUUCCUGGGAUCAACCAUGUCAAGCAACACAUGGUUUUCAUCUCGCCCUUGGAUCAAUCAAAUAUAGUAAGAAUGGAGAAGUUGAUAGCAGAUUGCUCNNNNNNNNNNNNNNNNNNNNNNNNNNNNNNNNNNNNNNNNNNNNNNNNNNNNNNNNNNNNNNNNNNNNNNNNNNNNNNNNNNNNNNNNNNNNNNNNNNNNNNNNNNNNNNNNNNNNNNNNNNNNNNNNNNNNNNNNNNNNNNNNNNNNNNNNNNNNNNNNNNNNNNNNNNNNNNNNNNNNNNNNNNNNNNNNNNNNNNNNNNNNNNNNNNNNNNNNNNNNNNNNNNNNNNNNNNNNNNNNNNNNNNNNNNNNNNNNNNNNNNNNNNNNNNNNNNNNNNNNNNNNNNNNNNNNNNNNNNNNNNNNNNNNNNNNNNNNNNNNNNNNNNNNNNNNNNNNNNNNNNNNNNNNNNNNNNNNNNNNNNNNNNNNNNNNNNNNNNNNNNNNNNNNNNNNNNNNNNNNNNNNNNNNNNNNNNNNNNNNNNNNNNNNNNNNNNNNNNNNNNNNNNNNNNNNNNNNNNNNNNNNNNNNNNNNNNNNNNNNNNNNNNNNNNNNNNNNNNNNNNNNNNNNNNNNNNNNNNNNNNNNNNNNNNNNNNNNNNNNNNNNNNNNNNNNNNNNNNNNNNNNNNNNNNNNNNNNNNNNNNNNNNNNNNNNNNNNNNNNNNNNNNNNNNNNNNNNNNNNNNNNNNNNNNNNNAAGGGAGGGGAGACUGGCAGAACGCACAAGAGCGUCAACCAUGGCUGCCGGAGAGGCGGAGACUAUCUUGGAACUAAGGAACCAAGGAAGAGGAGUGGGGGGACGAACAGUCGGAUGACACACAACAGAGACUAUAUGGAUGCGUGUGGAGCGAAGUAAGAAUACAGAACGACAUGGUAACUGACUUGAAAUAAUCAGCCCAGUCAGUUAGUGCAUACUAUCAAUUGCCAUUAAAGUCUGUAGCAGCGGUGAUUCAUUUUCUCAAUCGCCAGCGAGUAGACUCCAAUCGACAGGAGAUGAUUCGCUGCCUCAUUUAGCGCGCCCAGGGCGUUGCCCGACGAGUCGAUCUUGUCGCUCGCUUUGCAACGGCGCUGGCCGCUCGCCCUGCGAGGCCUGCGGCUGCGGCGGUGGGCUGAGCGUGUGUUGAUGCGUACGUGUACAAAGCAACGCUGAGAACGGAUGACAUACAACACUUAAAAAGCCCAGUCAGCCCAAAUUAACAGAAGAUCAACGAAUUUGUUAUGGGAGCAGCGGCCCUGUCCGUGUAGCACUUUCUAGUAUGCAAUCGAAGCCCAGGCGGGACUGCCAAAACAAUCAAAGGCCAGAAAUGCACACAACUCCAUAUCCAACGGCCAAAAAUGUUGAUGGCCUGAGAGGGCUGGAAUAGUGCUUGAUUGUAAUGUCUUUAAAUUAAAACCAUCAUGUGUAAUGAGAAAACACAACUCAUCAAUAUAAUCCUUAAUAAGUGCAAACUUCUCUGAUAUAGUGUUGUUGGGAGAAUUAAAAAAAUAAUAGGACAAGUGUGGGUACAAUAGCAAUAACUUCAUUUUUAACAUAAAGAACUAUAGCAAGUUCAUCUUCAUAAGCAUCAUAAAUAUUGGCAUUAUGGCCAUAAGAAUAGCAAGCAUCAGAUUCAUCAAGAGGGGAUAUUUCAAUAGGAUCAUAACAAUCAUCUAUAGAUUCCUGGAAAGUACCAAUCUCUUCUUGGACAACAUAUAUUUUCUUAAUAUAAUCUUUAAUAUAGGCAUUAGAGUCAUAAUUUCAGCAAUACUUAAGUAUGGAAAAAAUUAGAUUUGUAAAGAAAAGUGUCAUACUUUUAAUCAAAGCAGCAAUUUCAUAUGCAUCCUUCAAAGUAAUAAUCUUCAAUUUGUUUAAUAUCAUAAUAACUAUAAACAUCCUAGGCAUAAGAAGAUAAGAUUUCAUUAUCAUUAAACUCACAUUGGAAGGGAAGGUGUUUUUUUAGGAUUCCCAGAGUAAAUUCAGAGCAUAGCAUUCCAAUCUAGGUAUUUGAUCCCAUAAGUGUCUUCCAUUUUGAAACAAGUUGUGAUGCACAAAAUAAGCAUGCUCAUCUAAUAAUUUUCUCUCAGCUAAGCUAGUUUGGGUUUCAGCAUGAGCACAAAUGGAUCGAAGAUGACCCAAGUAGAAGAAUUCAAGGGGAUCCAUAUUUUAGCAAGCGAAGAUGCAAGCAAAUAGGAGGCACAUGUCAACACAAGCACACAUAUUUUGGUAUUUUUUAACGGAAACUAAUAAAAGCAAGUAAAAAGUAGAACAAGUAAAUGAUAAAGUGUAUGAAGGGACCUUGAGUUAUUUGAUGAAGUCUCCCCAGCAACGGCGUCAGAAAUUCUUCUGCUACUUGUGAUGGGCGUUGGGAUUUCCCCGAAGAAGAAGGGUGAAGUAUUAUAGUAGCAGAAAGUAUUUCAUUCGGUUAAAAAUCAAGGUUUAUUGAACCAAUAGGAGAUCCACGCAAACGACCUUUAGCAAUACCUACACACACAAGAGCGACUCAUGAUCUGCAUUUAGUUACAUGCAUGACCUGAAUCAUGCUGCAUAUCACAUACCUUACGCUCACAACCAAUGAACGUGUUGUGGACACACAACACGGUCAAAGCUUGUCUGCUUUUCCUAUUGAAAUUUUAAGGCAACAAAAUCCUUCUUCGCAGACGAGCUCGGUGGCUACACGGCCAUGGCAGGCCAACCUUCAUGGUUUCGCAUCCAAUCGGAACAAGAACCAAGCAAGCUGAGAUAAGUGGAACAUCUCAGUUGUUUAUAUUUGGUUUGUUUCUUAUUUUUUCGAACUUUUUUUUGUGUGUUCUGCCCGUUCGUGAAGAAGCAUUUUUAGAUUGUCCAAUUGCAACAUGCGAAGGUAUUGUUUUGAUGACCAAUGACGCUCGUAUAAGUUGUGACAUUUCUAAGUAUAUGCGUGUGCUUGGGAAAUAUUAUCUCCCAUGGUAGCGGUUUAGGCAGAGUCCCCGUGGUAGCGGUUUAGGCAGAGUCCUGAUGCACUAGGGUUGAGAUAUUGUGUGUCUAAGCACAAUCUGAUCGAGGGUACAAUGUGCACAUGGAAAUAAAAAUUGUUCAAAGACAACGAAGACAAGAUAGAAGAUACUAGUUCAUAAUUAAAAGGUGGAUUGGCGCUCACAUCCAGCCGCGCCAAUCCACCAGACUAACGGCACCACGUGCCCAUUUCUUAUUCAUCUUGCCCCCCGUACAGGUCACAGGGGGCUACAUACUAAAAAGAAAAAAGAGAAGGAAGAAGACGACGACUAUGCGUCGGGAGCAGAAGAGGACUUCAGGCAUCUCCGAAGUCGUUUUCCUUCUCCUGCGGCACCAGCACCUCUGCCACGGCUCCCACCUCCUGCUCUGCGCGACGCUGGUCCUCCAUGCCGAGCUCCUAUAAAAGAACCUCCACGGGGAAAUGGGGGGAGGCGUUGGGGACGCCGACAAGAAUGUGGUUCUCCACUGCACGUGUCGCUUGAUCCACCUCCGCCUCCCAUGUUGCUUCACCCUUCAGGCGGAACUCCCCAAACCGCGCCGCCAUAUGUUGGAACAAGAACACUAGAUGGUUCAACUUCUCCCUCAUUAAAGGCAUGGUAUGGGAUGAACUGCUCGAGGCUGAGGACGUCUAUGUCUUAAUUCAGCCUUAGGUACACGCCCCGCAGUGAUGCCACGCUCCCGUAGUGCUCCACGUGGAGGUUGGCGAAGAUUCAUCCCGGCUUGCGGCGGUGGAUCCGUUCAAUCUCCAGCUGAUCGCAAAGCUCCAUGGUCUCACUCUCCAAAUGAAGAUCGAUACCACUGAGAAAGCCGCGGAGCUCGCGAACUUUGACAUCCUUGGCAGCGAGAUUGGCACACAUUUGCUCCCACUCGUAGUGGUUGACUUUGUGCGACAUGGCGAAGGAGGAGGGAGGGUUGCGAUGAAGAAGGCAAAGAGAGAGAUUGUGGGCUCAAAGGACUCGGGGGCUCGGAUGGCUACAGGAUGACAAAGAUGAGAGGAAGAAGACGAAGGGUGAGGAGGGGACAGGCUCGAUCUCCAGCUUUUAUAGGCUAGGAACCAAGGCGCGACACCCUCCCCAAUUGGUGCCGAGCAUUCAACACACAUGACAGGCGUUUGGGUUUCCCGACGCGAACUCGAAUGCCCGUUGGAUGCAUCGGAUUACAAAGUGGGUUUUAGGCAUGAUUGCUCAUGCGCCGGUAUGAACCCUGAGCGAAUUAAAGACAGUUUGACAACACACGGGACAUCGUGUGUUCAAACCAAUGGCGACAGAAGUCAAAAGAUUUUAUUCCUGCCUCUGGCUGGAUUCCACGCCAUGUGUCAUGGUCAUGAAGUAUCGAAUCGACUGGUCAGCCAGUGGGUUGAGCCUAGCCCUUCGCCAGGCAUCUAACACAUAGGACAUGGGGGCUUGCUCCUCGCUUGUGCUAAAACUCACCUACUGUUUACUGGUCAGACUAGAUGGGAAAGAUGGUCGGUGCCUGUGAUCCCUGUGUUGUUAGAGGGUCUCGCCCUAACAAACGUGAAGGACACUCAUCAGGACCAGACAUGGGGGCUACCGUUAGUGACGUGAACGGUUGGUCCACGAGGUCAACUACACAUGGGCCACAGGUAGAUCUCCCCUUGGCUGGAACCAUCAAAGACUCAAGACCCGGGAACAAGACCUCCGGCAACGGCUGCGCUUCCUUACCAUCAAAGGCACCAUGACUCGACUACUUCAUGUGUGGCAUGAUAGAUCUUCCCCAUCAGGACUGGUGCGACACAUUACGACCAUGCAGACUAGGCAGUGGAAAUGCGUCGGUUGCCGGGGGUGACUCACCAGCCCACCUGCCACCAGGGCGACACAUGCAUCAAUGUGUGGCACCACCAGGCUAACUUAUCAUCUUGGGCGGUAGUGACAAGACUGCUGUCAUUCUCAAAAGAUAGAAGACGAUGACACAUCAAGGUGCAUUUAAUGCACUCACCUACAUUAUCAGCUCGGGGCAAUUCCUUAGCAACUACACCAUUGUGGUACCCCUUAGCCUAUAAAAGAAGGAAUGGGUGAAAGAAUAAAGGGAUUGGACACUUGUUAGACCACCAGUAGAAUCACACUACGCUUCCCGUUCCCGGGAAGGACUUCUAGCUAUGAUCCACCCAUAAAAACACCUAAAAAGCAGGAGUAGGGUAUUACACAACCAUGCGGCCCGAACCUGGGUAAAUCGUCGUGUCUGUUUUGCACAUUUCAGUAGUGUAGGUUGAUGACCCACAAGUAUAGGGGAUCAAUCGUAGUCCUUUCGAGAAGUAAGAGUGUCGAACCCAACGAGGAGUAGAAGGAAAUGACAAGCGGUUUUCAGCAAGGUAUUGUCUGCAAGCACUGAAAUUAUCGGUAACGAGUAGUUUGAUAGUAAGAUAAUUUGUACCGGACAAUAAGUAGUAAUAGUAACAAAAGUGCAGCAAGGUAGCCCAAUCCUUUUUGUAUCAAAGGACAGGCCGGAACGGUCUCUUAUAAUAAGCAAAGAGUUCUUGAGGACACACGAGAAUUUCAUCUAGUCACUUUCAUCAUGUUUGUUUGAUUCGCGUUCGCUACUAUUAUAAUUUGAUAUGUUGGUGGAGCGGUGCUUGGGUUGUUGUUCUUACUUGAACAAGCCUCCCACUUAUGGUUACCCCCUCUUGGAAGCAUCCUCAACUAAGAAAGAAGAAUCAAGAUAAAUCUAACCAUAGCAUGAAACAUAUGGAUCCAAAUUAGCCCCUUACGGAAUAGCACAUAAACUAGGGUGUAAGCUUCUGUCGCUCUAGCAACCCAUCAUCCAAUAACUACUCCACAAUGCCUUCCCUUAGGCCCAAAGAUGGUGAAGUGUCAUGUAGUCGAUGUUCACAUGACACCACUAAAGGAAGCAACAACAUACAUAUCAUCAAAAUAUCAAAGGAAUACCAAAUUCACAUGAUUACUUAUGUCAAGACUUCUCCCAUGCCCUCAAGAACAAAAGUAACUACUCACAAAUCAUAUUCAUGUUCAAGAUCAGAGGGGUAUUGAAUAUCAUUAAGGAUCUGAACAUAUAAUCUUCCACCAAAUAAACCAACUAGCAUCAACUACAAGAUGAAAUCAACACUACUAGCAACCCACGGGUACCAAUCUAAGGUUUUGAGACAAAGAUUGAAUACAAGAGAUGAACUAGGGUUUGAGAUGAGAUGGUGCUGGUGAAGAUGUUGAUGAAGAUUAGUCCUCCCAUGAUGAGAGGAUCGCUGGUGAUGACGAUGGCUUAGAUUUCCCCCUCCCCCGAGAGAAGUUACCCCGGCGGAAUCGCUCCACCGAAGAGCAAAAGUGCUCCUACCCAGGUUCCGCCUCGAGAUGGCGACGCUUCACCCCGAAACCUUCCUUCUGUUUUUUUCUAGGUCAAAUGACACCAUAUAGGGGAAGAUGGGCCCCGGAGGCCUGCCAGGGGUGCCACAAGCUCGGGGGGGGGGGGUAGGCUUGUGGCUGCCUGGUGGGUCUCCCUCUGGUAUUUCUUUUGCCUACAAUUUUAAUAUAUCACAAAAUAAUUCUCCAUCAAUUUUCAGCUCAUUUGGAGUUGUUCAGAAAAAGUGCCCCAGAUAUAGCCCUUCCCGGUCCAGAAUUCCAGCUACCGGCAAUCUCCCUCUUCAUGUGGAACUUGCAAAAUAAGAGAGAAAGGCAUAAGAAUUGUAUUAUAAAGUGACAUAAUAGUCCAUAAAACAAUAAAUAUCACUAUUAAAACAUGAUGUGAAAUGGACGUAUCGUAGGUCCUCACCUUCGUGCCCCAAUCCUGACCUAGAAAACUGAUGACAUCAGUCCACGGUGUCAUGCGUGUGUUCUUCACACGCCCGCCGACAGGAUCACCCUUAGGUGGAAGAGGAUCUCCCAAAGUUUCAACGGGAAAAUUAUGCUUAAGGAUAGGUGCUUGCCUAAAGAAUAUUUCAUCAAUUUCAUUCGGAUCGGGAUCUUUGCCGCCAGCUAGCUCUUUGCCUUCUGCUAGCGGACGACAAAGUAGGUCUUUGCCCUCAGCUUACAGAGAGCUGACGGCAAAGAAAGAGCGGACGACAAAGAGGGUGUUUGCCGUCAGCCAGCUCUUUGCCGUCUGCUAGCAGACGACAUAGAAGCUUUACCGUCAGCUAGCAGACACAAAGAGGGAGGGUGGCCCACUAGCAAGGGCCACCUAACGACCACUUCCUUUGCCGUCUGCGAGCAAACGACAAAGAGAAUAGCCAACCUAAUGGCUGUUUCCCCCCGGACCCACCCCACUAGCUACGCUCUUUGUCGUCUGCUAGCAGAUGACAAAGAAAUUAAACCUAACUAAAAAUGGUCGGACCCGCGCCCCACCCUCUCUCUCCCUCACCUCACCCGCGCCACCCCCGUGCACGCCGCCCCUGCCGCCGACCCCCGCCGNNNNNNNNNNNNNNNNNNNNNNNNNNNNNNNNNNNNNNNNNNNNNNNNNNNNNNNNNNNNNNNNNNNNNNNNNNNNNNNNNNNNNNNNNNNNNNNNNNNNNNNNNNNNNNNNNNNNNNNNNNNNNNNNNNNNNNNNNNNNNNNNNNNNNNNNNNNNNNNNNNNNNNNNNNNNNNNNNNNNNNNNNNNNNNNNNNNNNNNNNNNNNNNNNNNNNNNNNNNNNNNNNNNNNNNNNNNNNNNNNNNNNNNNNNNNNNNNNNNNNNNNNNNNNNNNNNNNNNNNNNNNNNNNNNNNNNNNNNNNNNNNNNNNNNNNNNNNNNNNNNNNNNNNNNNNNNNNNNNNNNNNNNNNNNNNNNNNNNNNNNNNNNNNNNNNNNNNNNNNNNNNNNNNNNNNNNNNNNNNCGCCGCUCAGGCCGCUCGUCGCUGCUCCAUCCCUGGUGAGGUUUCUUUCCUUUUUUCUUUAUUAUUUUGUUGUUGUUUUUUGAUUUAGGUUAAUUAGUUAGUCAGUUCGUUUUUUAGGUUAAUUAGUUAGUUGUUUUACCCUAUAUUGUACGUAGGUCAAUUAGUUAGUUAGUUAUGUUUUUAGGUUAAUUACUUGGUUAGUUUUUUUAGGUUAAUUACUUAGUUAGAUAAGCCCAAGAACAAGAAAAGAAAAGAAAGCAAGAAAGAAGACCUAAAAGGACUAGGAGGAGAAAACAUAGAAAAAAGAAGAAGAAGAAAACAGAAAACAGAAAAAGAAGAAAAAAAGAACUAAAGUCUACUGAUUGUAGCUAUUGAGGGCAAUGCUUGCUUUUCCUCGUUUUUAAGGGAUGAUGACACCGAUUGAAGCUAUAGUGGGGCAGGAUUGGUGUCGACCUAGCCACUAUCAUUAUCCAACCACAUUAUCGCGGUGUCGACAUGGUUGCUACUACAACUAGUGUAGGAUUCAACUAGUUGAUUCCGUUUACCUUCAUUAUGAAAGACCAUUGUUUGGAUGAAAAAAAGAAGUACGGGAAAAGGAGUCGAGGGUCUAGGAUCGAGGUGUCGAGGGGUCGAGGGUUGAGGGGAAAAGGGGUCGAGGGGUCGAGGGUCGCUGAGGGGUCGAGGAUUUGUCGUCCUGACCACGACACCCCGACCCCGACAUGACACCCCGACCCCGCCUCGGUACCCCGACACCUCGACCCCGGCACAGCACCUCGACCCCGACACGGCACCUCCCACCCUGACACAGCACCCCGGCACGACACCACCGACACCCCGACCCCCGACACACCGACCCCCGACACAACACCCCGAGACUCUGACACGACACCCCNNNNNNNNNNNNNNNNNNNNNNNNNNNNNNNNNNNNNNNNNNNNNNNNNNNNNNNNNNNNNNNNNNNNNNNNNNNNNNNNNNNNNNNNNNNNNNNNNNNNNNNNNNNNNNNNNNNNNNNNNNNNNNNNNNNNNNNNNNNNNNNNNNNNNNNNNNNNNNNNNNNNNNNNNNNNNNNNNNNNNNNNNNNNNNNNNNNNNNNNNNNNNNNNNNNNNNNNNNNNNNNNNNNNNNNNNNNNNNNNNNNNNNNNNNNNNNNNNNNNNNNNNNNNNNNNNNNNNNNNNNNNNNNNNNNNNNNNNNNNNNNNNNNNNNNNNNNNNNNNNNNNNNNNNNNNNNNNNNNNNNNNNNNNNNNNNNNNNNNNNNNNNNNNNNNNNNNNNNNNNNNNNNNNNNNNNNNNNNNNNNNNNNNNNNNNNNNNNNNNNNNNNNNNNNNNNNNNNNNNNNNNNNNNNNNNNNNNNNNNNNNNNNNNNNNNNNNNNNNNNNNNNNNNNNNNNNNNNNNNNNNNNNNNNNNNNNNNNNNNNNNNNNNNNNNNNNNNNNNNNNNNNNNNNNNNNNNNNNNNNNNNNNNNNNNNNNNNNNNNNNNNNNNNNNNNNNNNNNNNNNNNNNNNNNNNNNNNNNNNNNNNNNNNNNNNNNNNNNNNNNNNNNNNNNNNNNNNNNNNNNNNNNNNNNNNNNNNNNNNNNNNNNNNNNNNNNNNNNNNNNNNNNNNNNNNNNNNNNNNNNNNNNNNNNNNNNNAAAAAGGUGCUCUUCGGCCUUCCAGAGGCCGACGGGGUCAUAUAUUUGUGAAUUAUGAGUUAGGUCAGGUAUUCAAUUAUUAUUAUGUACACACACACACACACACACACACACACAUAUAUAUAACUAUUAAUUAGUUCAUGUUAUUAGGUAUUCAAUUUUUUAUUAUGUUCAUGAUGAUGAUACACACUUAUUUUUUUAUUAUGUUUAUGUUCUACUAAUUUUGUUUACUCUUUGUCAUUGCAGGUGUUGACAGAUGGUGGGUGCGGGUCGAGAGUGCUCCGAGCCUCCUUCCUCGACGCAUGCUGGGAGGUGUGUUGUUAUUCCACCCCAGAACCUUUGGAUACCGCUGGUAGACAGUAUGCAGACACCGGCGGGUGCUUCUUCUUUGGCCGGGAGAGGUCGGGGGAAGACAAAGAGAGGUGCAGCUAGAGGUGGACGUGGCGGCGGGACAGGUAGGAAGGCUGUUGCGCCUUCCUCGCCACCACCCCCAGCUGAUUCUCCGAACCACCGGAGUGCUCCGUCUCAGGUGGGCCCAUCUGACUUGGACCCGUCUCUGACUACAGUCCAUGAGCCUCGGGUCGCCGAGCCUACGUCCUACGAGACUCGGGUCCCAGAGUCUUCGUCCCAAGAGACUCGGGUCCUAGAGUCUUCGUCCCGUGUGACUCCGGAGACUAGUGGCAAUGCUGAUGGUGGCGAGGACACCUUGUCUGACGAUAGCUACAGCGAUGGCGAGCUGGUUGAGGCGGGCAAGAAGGUAUACCAGCGUGGUGGUACAAAGCUCCGGUCUAUGCCGACGACCCGCGACCAGAGGUGGUUGAUUGAGCCUAACGGGGAGAAGUAAGUGCAUUUACUCGUUUUUAACCUUUUGCUUUCAUGUUUCUUAAAACUAGUAUCUAAUGUGUUGGCCUUGUCAUACUGCAGGCGUUGGAUACAUGCCUCUGGUGUCCGCAGGCCCAACCAGGUCCUUGGUGUGAUUUGCUGGCACCACUUCCCGGCGUGGGUCACGUUGCCCGGUGAGGGUGAGGUUCCACAGCUAGCACUGACCUGGGAGCUGUACAAGGCUGCCCCGGCCCCGCCGGGGUAGAUGGUCUAUGGUAUCGUGUGCGAGACGGUGGCCGACAUUGUGAGACGGUGGUUUUGGGUAAUUUCUCCUUUAUAGAAUUAAAAAUCAAUAGUACCUAGUGAUUGUACUAAUCGGUGUUGUCUUGUUUGAUUGCUGACCUUCUACAAGAGGAACACGAGGUGGACGCGGCUAUGGUUCUCGAAGCCGAGUGCAAGCGCCUGCUUCAGAACUUAUGGUAUGAGGCUCGGGUGCAGGUUGUUCGAGACUACUACGCCUCGACUAACAUCAGGAGGGAGAAUAAGAAGUGUCGCGGCAAGUAUCUGACUAAGGAGAAGUACAUGAAGGUAAUUACCUAUCCUUAAGGCCUUGUACUUAGUUUCCUUUAUUUGAUUCGUAGGCUUAGUGCCGAAAUUUAUCUUUGUCUAACUUAGGUGCCCCCGAGAUGGUGUGCGGAUAGGAUGGACUGUUGGAAGAGGUUGGUGGAUGAGUGGUGCUCUCCCCAAUGGCUAGCCGUCCAUAGCAAGGCCAGGGACAAGCGUGCCCAGAAACAAGGUGUGCCACACCAUCAAGGGAGCUCCAACUUGUUUGAGUAUGGGGAUCACUUGGUAUGUGGUUUGAGCCCUUAACGAUUCAUGCAUUUUCAUUCUUCGUGCUAGCUUAAGCCCUUAACUAAUAUUUUGUUCCUCUCUUUUAGGCGUGACACCACAAGAAGGAGGUGCCACCGCUGCAUGACCUCUGUGCCAUGGCCCAUACUACCCCGUACAAGAAGGCCAAGGCAUUCUCGGAGGAUGACCUCAAUCAUCCAGAGAGCUCACCAACAUCUCCUCCCACGACAAGCUCGUGAGGUACAGAGACUUUGGGAAGGCGAUGAAAGGGGAGGACUUCAGCCCGAGCCAGAGUCCUUUUGAUCCUGAGCUCGUGAUGCUAUCUGGUGAAGGGAGAAAACAUGGCUCUAUAGCCAUUGGGGAUGAACUAAUACAUCGUCCUAGAAGUCUUCCUGAGAUCAAGAAGCGCCAGACGAUGUCUCUUCCUGAGAUGAGGCCUCAACAACGGCCAACGGAGCUCGCCAUCGAGGCUAGGGCCCAGGAGCUUCUAGCGGAGGCAACCAGGCAGGCGACACAGAGGGAGAGGGAGUUGGAGGAGAGGACGACUAGUAUGUUGGAGGCAGAGAGGAACCGGAAUGACGCGGGUCACCGGGCCCUAUACGAGCUCCUCGUGGUAAGUUUCUCCUGCAUAUUACCCAAAUCAUGCACAUAAAGUUUGUUUCAUUACUAACUAAUAUGAUUGACUGUGAAAACAAAAUGUGCAGUCCGUGUGCGAGAAAAACGGUCAGACCCCUUCGCCGAUGCCCCAGAUUGGUAUAGCGGACACGGUGAGUUUCAUUUGAAUGGUCAUUAGUUAUUAGUAUUCAUAUUUCAGUUGCAUCAUGCUAACCAGACAUUGCAAAUGAUCUUUGGUGCAGCACGCCUCCCAAUAAUCAUCGACCGACCCUUUUCCGUCUCGCACUGGCGCAACCCCGACCGGUCCUUCUCCGUCUGGCACUAACGCAACCCGACUGUUCCUUCACCUCCAUGAUGAUGGUAAGUUUUCCCAAGUGUUUUGCUUAACAAAUGCAUACUUCGCUUAAGAAAUGACCUACUUAGCUCCAAAAUGACCUAUACUUAGCUUAUUUUCCUCAAAAAUGACAUAAUAACCUUACUUAGCUCCAUAAUGACAUAUUCUACCUAGGAUAGCUAUAAAAUGACCUAUACUUAGCAUUUUUUCCUCCAACAUGACUUGAUAUGCUUAGUUAGCUAGAAAAUGACAUAACUACCUAAGAUAGCUCAAUAAUGAUCUAUAUCUAGCUUAGCUAGUUCAUUUAUGACAUAAUUAGCUCAAUUAGGUAAAAAUGGCAUAACUACCUAGGAUAGCUGAAUAAUGAUCUAUAAUUAGCUUAGCUAGUUCAUUUAUGACAUAAUUAGCUGACUUAGGUAAAAAAUGGCAUAAUAACCUUGGUUUAGCUCCCAAAUGACCUGUACUUAGCUUAUUUUCCUCGAAAAUGACAUAAUAACCUUACUUAGCUCAGAACCGACAUACUUUACCUAGGAUAGCUAUAAAAUGACCUACACUUAGCAUUUUUACUCCUAAAUGACUUAAUUUGCUUAGUUAGCUAAAAUAUCAUAACUACCUAGGUUAGCUCCAAAAUGGCCUAUACUUACCAUUUUGUCCUCCAAAAUGAAUGAAUAUGCUUAGUUAGCUCAAAAAUGGCAUAACUACCUAGGUUAGCUCCAAAAUGACCUAUUUACCUAGCCUAGCUCUAAAAUAACCUACACACUUAGCAUUUUUACCUACCUUAGUUAGAAGAAGAAGAAGAAGAUAAAGAAGAGGAGAGGAGAAAAAUAAAGAGAAGAUAAAUUCUUCUUCUUCUUUUUCUUCUAGCUAGUCUUCUUCUUCUUCUAACUUUCAUCUUUCCUAAUUUGCAGAUUUGCUUUAGAUGAAGAAGCUUGCAUUGAUGGAGUGUACUCUUCUACUUGUGCUUCCUUUCUGUUUAUGGAAACUUGUUGGAAACUUGUUUUGGAUAUGUAUGUAUAUAUGGAUAUGUUGUUGGAAACCAUUGUAUGUUGGAUAUGUUCUUGGAAACUUGUAUGUUGGAUAUGUUAUUGGAAACUUAUUGUUUGUAUGCCUGUUGAAAUUAUUUUGAAAUGUGUGUGUGUAUAUAUAUAUGUAUAUAUCUGUGAAUUUCUGUCAAAUUAAAUGAAUUUAAGAAAAAACAGAAAAAACAGGGGCUAUACAGGCUCUUUGCCGUCUGCCAGCAAACGACAUAGCUGCCACGUGGCAGCUACCUGUGCAGCCUGGGGUGCACUGGGCUGGCCUAUUUGGCAGCUUUGCUGUGAGCUGGCAAAUGGCAAAGACCUUUGCAUCUUUCCUAUCUGUUGGCAAACAACAAAGAUGCAAAGGCCUUUGCCGUCUGCCAGCUGACGGCAAAGCACGCUGUUAACCCCUUAACGGACCUAAGCUGCCACGUGUGUGAAGGAAAUAUACCCUAGAGGCAAUAAUAAAGUUGUUAUUUAUAUUUCCUUAUAUCAUGAUAAAUGUUUAUUAUUCAUGCUAGAACCGUAUUAACCGAAAACUUAGUACAUGUGUGAAUACAUAGACAAUACAUAGUGUCCCUAGUUAGGGGUGGGCAUAAAAACCGAGAACCGAAGACCGAAGCCAAAAAAACCAAGACCGAAGCCAAAAAAACCAAGAACUGAAGCAUCAGUUGUUCGCUCGGUCAGCAAACCUGAGAAACCAAAAUUGCUUCGGUGAAUUCGGUCGUUCCAGUGUGUUGACUGAAUCACCCGAAUUAACCGAAAAUACUGGGUUGUAUUAAAGCCCAGCGUACAAAGGCUAACAGCCCAUCCACGUUCGUAAGAAUCCAAUCACUACACGACAUUUUUUUCCAGCCUUAUCUCAGCCGCAAACACACAUGGCUCCACCUCCGGCAUCUUAUCUUGUAUUCCUUCCAGGCUUCACGCACGCACGAAGCGCCGCCGUCUCCGCUUCUGAUCCCCACCUCGCACAAAACUAACGGCGACCACUGCGCGCCUGCGCCCAUGGCUCCUGCGCGAUGGCGUGGCGGUGGCCAGCGGUGCCCAUGGCUACUGCACGGUGGUGGCCGGCGGCGCACAUGGCUCCAAGGAGGGGACCGAUGACGUCCAUUGCUCCGAUGCGGACUUGGGCUCACCGCCGACUGCCCCGUUUUCUUUGUAUCAGUCCCCACAACCAUGUACGCUAUGCAAGUUCAGAUUGAUUUGUGUCCGGUUGUUCUUGUUUUCUCCAUGAUUUGACUCGUGAUUUCUUCCUUUCCUACGAACAUUGGCUCCCUUCGGUUAUAACCGAGCACCGAACCGAAUUUUGAGUGGACUGAAGUGUCGGUCAUUGAUUUUUCCAGAGACCGAUCGGUCAACAAAACCAGGAAACCGAAUUUGAAUAUAAACCGAGGCACCGUACCGAACUGCUCGGUCUAACCGAAUGCCCAGGCCUAUCCCUAGUAUGACUCGACUUGACUAGCUCGUUAAUCAAGAUGGUUAUGUUUCCUAACCAUAGACAUGUGUUGUCAUUUGAUGAACAGGAUCACAUCAUUAGAGAAUGAUGUGAUGGACAAGACCCAACCGUUAGCUUAGCAUUAUGAUUGUUACAGUUUUAUUACUACUGCUUUCUUCAUGACUUAUACAUGUUCCUCUGACUAUGAGAUUAUGCAACUCCCGAAUACCGGAGGAAUACCUUGUGUGCUAUCAAACGUCACAACAUAACUGGGUGAUUAUAAAGAUGCUCUACAGGUGUCUCCGAAGGUGUUUGUUGAGUUGGCAUAGAUCAAGAUUAGGAUUUGUCACUCCGUGUAUCGGAGAGGUAUCUCUGGGCCCUCUCGGUAAAGCUCAUCACAAUAAGCCUUGCAAGCAAUGUAACUAAUGAGUUAGUUAUGGGAUGAAGCAUUAUGGCGCGAGUAAAGAGACUUGCCGGUAGUGAGAUUGAACUAGGUAUGAUGAUACCGA
rnacentral:lncRNA from 1 species